rnacentral:lncRNA from 1 species
AAAACUUCAAAUACCCCCAUGUGGUUUCACUUUUUCUCACUUUAGUACCCUAUAGUUUAAAAUGUAUCAAGUUAGUCCCAAAUCCGUCCUACCAUGAUCCGUCCCGAAUUCGCCCCGAAAAUUAUUUAUAUUUUAAAAAAAUAUUUCUAAAAAGUAAUGUAUUUACAAAAAAAAGUUCAAAAUACAAAUAAGUUGUACUCUUAUUUCUAAUGUAUUUGAAACUUUUCAAUUUUGUUUUGAAUUGUGAUUGAUAUUUUUUAUUUUUAUAAUUAAUAUUAUUAAAUUAUAUAUAUAAUAUUAUUAAAAAUUAUUAAUUUAUAUUUUAUAAAAUAUUAAUAAUAUUAUAAUUUUAUAAAAAAUAUUAGUUGGCGGGCGGAUUCGAAGCGCAGGCAGGAGGCGGGUUACGAGACGGGGUGGAUUAUGGGAUAUAUUUUUUAACCCGUCACGGAUUCGGGACGGAAGGCGGGGUGGAAUUUUGCUAGUCGGGGUGGGAAGCGGGGCGGGGCUCCCGCCCACAGAUCCACCCCGUUUGCAUACCUAAACCUCAAUCAAAAAACAAAGUAAAGAUGGGGUCAUUUCAAAUUGCCCUAUAGUACACACGCAGAUUUUCUCCCAAUAGGAAAGCCAUUACGUAAUAUUAGAAAAAUUAAUGGCUCAAAGCAAAAAAAAAAGUGUUAUAAAAGCUAUAAAAAAUUAAGAUAAAUAUUUAGAUCUUGAAUAUUACAUCUAAUAAUUUUAAGACUAAAAUACAUAAAUUUUCUUGCAAAUACCUAUUUUUUAUUUUUUCUCUCAUGACUCUUAAAAAUCUACAUUUUACUCUCUUAAAAUUUUAGAAAUAUUUUCAGAAAUUUAUGGUGUUAAUAAAGAGUGCGAGAUGACCAAACCCCUUCUUAUUCUGUAAAAAAUAAAUAAUUUUUUAAUCUAUUUUUAUUAUUUUUAAGAUUAUUUUUGAUAUAAAUUAUAAAAAAAAAGACGAUAUAGUUACGUAACCCUGACGAAGGAGGGAGUAAAAUACACGUUUUUCAGAGUCAGAGGGGAAGUAAAAAAAAAGUAUUUGUAAGGGAUUUUCUGUAUGUUUAGCCUAAUUUUAAAUAUACAGGUCCACGGUGUACCAGGUCCAGCGAAUAGUUUCUCCACGGGGAGAGCGAGGUUAUUAUGGGGGUAUUAAUGUCGGAGUUAUUGCUCCACAUUAUUUCGAGGGGAACUUGUCCUUAUCGGUCUCAUAAAGGAGCCCACGUGAUCGAUGAACUCGGCACCGGAUUUUGCUUCUUAGUCAUAAUACGACAAGUCGUCGCCGAGUUCUAUAUAACGAAGUCGGCGUUGCGUUAGCUACUCUGCCGGUUUCGUUGAACGCUUUGGAUUCUCCUUGCCUCGGUUACUAUUUAGGAGACAAGUCGUAUUAACGGAUCCAAAUAUUUUUCAGAAUAAUCCACAGAAAAAUAUCGAAUUAAAUUUAUAAAAGCCAAAAUUAGAAAGGAUGGAAAAAUAAAAAUCUAAAAAUUAGAUAUAAUGAUAUGACAUUAAAAAUAUAUUUUUUUAUAGAAAAAAUAAUCUAAAUAUUUUUUGUCUAUUACUUCCGCUAAAAUAUGUCUAGUCAAAUUCUGCCAACAUAUAUAUAAAUUGAGCCUCAAAAUAUAACCGUCUCAACAGUAAAAAGAGCUUUUUGCUUAUUUAUUCCGACUAUUAUUCAAAAUUUUUAAAUUUAUUCUAAAACUAUCAAAAUAUCUUUCUAAACUCUAAUUUUAAUUAGUAAACUCUAGGGAUUUAGGGAUAUUUUAAAAAAAGUUUGGCAUUUCAGUCAACUAUUGGUAUACUAAAUAUUUUUGAAGUUUUAAAUAACAUCUAGAAACUCUUAUUAAUUUUCAUAAUUUUGUACACGUGGCAAGCUUACCUUAACUAUUGGCUGUGAGGCCCAUCUCAUUUAUCCUUUCUUUGAACCUAUCAAUUUUUAAAGAUCAUGUCAUUUUUCCUUCCGACUCUUCAGUAUAAUAGAAUUAUCAAAGACUUUGUGGUUACUCAUUUCAUCUGUUCGGUUUUUGUGUUUUUCUUCUAAACUCAUCAAAAUUUAACUUGAAAUCCCACUCAUCUUUUACCUAAACUCUUUACAAGUUCUCUUCCCCUUCCUUCACCGCACUCCCCUCAGCGCGGUGGUGGCGCAACUGAAAUCGAGACCAGGAACGUGACAAGGAGUAUGACCCAUUUCCCCUUUUUCAACCUUGUCCCUCCCCAAUCUCUUUUAAGAUCAUGAAUGAUCGAUCAAAGAGGAAGAAUAAGCGAUCAAGAUCAAACAUAUUGAGAGAUACGAAGAUCGAUCUCUAAUUGAGCUCAAUUUCAUCGAUCGAUCAAUGUAGAUCCCUAAUUUUGGGAGAACGAUUACGUACGGAAUAUAUAAACCCUAAUUAGAGAUAUGCUGCUCCAAUAAAUAUUCAUUCGACGCAUUGUAUGGGUCCCUGCACUAGUAUAUUAGAUAUUAUUCCAUAGUAAAAAAACUAGUAUCAAACGCAUAUGAUACCACAAUGUACGAUAGGAGAACAUUCUAUUGUGUUGCUGCUUAAUUAUUGGACCUAUUUCGAAAAGAGUUGUAUUAGAUACAUUUUUUUAUUAUUUGACUAAAAUAAAGAAAACCAUAUGCAAAUACCUACUUCUUCUUUUUUUUCCCUGACUUUCAAAAAAUUUAUUUUACCCUCUAAAAAAUUUUAAGUUGAUGCAUUUAGCGCCCCCCCAACCCCCCGUUAAGGUUCCGUUCACUAUUUCGUGUACUUCUUAUAAUUAUAUCAAAAAUAUAUUUAAAAGUAACCAAAAUAUUUUUUUUCUUAUAAAAUAAAUAAGAACAAUUUGAUCAUUUCGCCCACUCUAUUAAUGCUGUAAUUUUUUAAAAAUCUUUUUAAAAUUUUAAAAAAAUAAAAUAUAGAUUUUUGAAAGUUGGGAAGGAAAAGUGAAUACAAAAAAUUUUUGCAGAAUUUUUUUUUUUUUGUAUUUUAGCCGUGUUAUUUACUUGGUAAUAAAGAAAGAGAACAUUGCUCUUAUUAUUGUUGUAUUAAUACGUUGAGUGGGAUUUCGAUCCACAAUAGGUCUAGCGGCAAGAAACCCUACAAUAGACCUAACGUUUAUGUAGGCUAAGUCAGGUCGAAAUUCGUGAGCGCUGUAGCUGAGCCGCCCUUAAAUGCAAUAAAUGCGCUCUCUCUAACAUCAUAUAAUUUUGGAACAAGUGAUUAAUGCUUACCACCUAUACUAAUGUUCAUAGGUCUCUUCCUAUAUAUUUUGUCCCCCUUUUUUUUUUUGUGUGUUUAGAACACAAACUAAGAUUAAGACAAAAUGAAUCUUUUCAUGCAUUAAUAAGAUUAAGACUAAGUUUAGAAGUACAUAACAAGACCUUUUUUUAAUGCACGUGAGAGAUGGAACCCACCAUAUUUUGUCCUUGCUUUACCUACAUCUCACAUGGUGGGGACUCCACCUAGUUUAUGGCGUGACACAUGAUUUUGUCAUCACCUCUUCAAUAAUUAAUGUUGGGGUGUAAAAUGUACCAAUCUCAUUCAAUUGAUUGGAAUCCAACAAUAAAUAUAUAUGCUUGUCGCUUUAUAACCAAACCAAUAUGUGACGGCCCAAUAAUCACAUAUCAUAUUAAAAAAAUUUAUAAUUGUGAAUAUCAGAAUCAUGGUUUCUAAUUCUAAUAAUUAAGUUUUAAGCAUUUUAGAUUGGGAUUUGGGCCUAACAGGUUUAAUCGACGUCAAAUGGAUAUUUUUCUGAUUAUAAAUAUAAAAAAUAAAAAUUCGACAGAUUCGAAUUUGGAUAUGAUUUCUAUUUGUACCCGCCACCAAUCUAAACCCGAAUAAGUUUUAUAUUAUAUAAUAUAUAAAAAUUUGAAUUUGUACAUUAAAAAAUUAGAUUUGAUAAUAAUACUUUCGGGUUCUGGUUUUUGGGUUCGGAUUUUUGGUUUCAGAUUUUUUGUCAGGUUAGGAUUUGCAAAUGGAUUUUCAUAAACUACUGGUUUCAGAUUCGAGUUAGGGUUUCGGUAUUAAUAGUCGGAUUCGGGUUCGAAUUUUUGAAAAUAAUUAAUUCUAAACCCGACUCGUUGACAUUACGAACUGAGUCGUUAUAUUUGAUAUGAAAGUUGUUCGCAAGCACCCAUCUCAUAUCAAUUAAACAUUUUUAUGCUAGAAGAAGGAUAAUUGAUUAGUCUACAAAUUACAAUGAAAAAAAAAGGGCCCAAAAUCAACAUGAAUUUUAGGUAAAUUGCAAAUGUUAAUUAAAAACCUAAUAUUACUUAAAUACCUAAGUUACAAGAUUAAUUAUAUAAAUAAUUAUUUUGUUUCUGUUAAAUAUUUUUUAUGUAUUACUAUCAAAGUUCCAAAUAUUGUCAGCACAGGAGUAUCACAUGGUUACAAAUAAUAUGUAAAUUCCGACCUGAACUUACGCUAAAUUAUAAAUCAUUGUCCGAACUUUUUUUUACCUUUGGUGCUACAAAGAAAGUUUUUUUUAAAAAAGAAAAAACCUUUUUCUGUAUGUGAUAGUUAUGUGUCGACAUUAUUUGCGAGAUGCGACAAAAAAAUUUGAGACAAAUGACUGAUUCUAAUAAAUUGCUCAUUCAUAUAACAAAUUCAAUCUUAUUUAGAUAGCGAUUUGUGUUUGAGAUGAAGUUUAAUAGGUUUUGUAGUUUUUUUCUCAUUCCAAUAUUUGAAGAAGCAUAUGGAUUUGGAGCCCAAUGUUAUUGGGUUAAGGUUUGGAUUCCAAAAUGGUUCGGCCCGAAUUCGCCCCGAUUUCACCCUCUGGUGGGGCUAAGCCAAGUUGGCCGUUUUGAUAUAACAAUUGAUUAAAUACAAUCAUAAUGUGACGUUCUCAGGAUUUGAAAUUUAUAUAUAGUAUAAUAAGACUAAAUCUUUUUAUUCGAUUAUACCAUUUUGGGCUAUGGUUGAAUUCAUGAUAUUAAGAGGAUUAAGUAUGUUAGGGUUAAAGUAGUUUUAGGAUUUGUGACUCCUUUUUUGAAGCAGGACAUCACAAUUGGUAUCGGAGCCAAUCAUUAAUCGGAAGUAUGAGAUGGAUCUUGGCUGAGCUCAGAUCAUAUAGCGGGAAGAAUAUUGCUCUCCAAUUGACGACUGUUGUGGGUAGAGCACAGAUUCCGCAAGAUGGCUAGUUAAGGCUAGCAAUACGAGUCUCAAAUCGUCUGUUGCUUGUGAGUGUACUUGAGCCUUGCAAGGACGUCAGAACUUAAAAGGAAGGAAUAUGAUACUUUCAAAUUUUGAAAUAGUCAUGUGUAUAUAUAUGGCAGUGUUUGGAUUGGGGAUAAGGGGAGGGAUAACCCCUUAUCCCCCUCUUUAUACCCAAAUGCAAAUUUUUUACCCCAGAAUAGUAGUAGUUCUAGGAUUUCUGAAAUAAGCUGGUAUAACUAUCUCCACUAACACCUCUAUUUUUUAUAUAUAACUAUCCAUUAUUUUUCUUAUUCCAUAUUAUCUAUCCAAACACUAUUUUUCUUAUCCCCGGGAACAACCCAAUUUUCAUCCAAACGCUAUUUUGCUUAUUUCCAUACUUGUACCUAUCCCUGUAAUAGCUAGUUCUUGCUUAUACCCGAACCAAACGGGAUAAUAUAUGAUAUGACCAAACUUUUUAACCUGGUUAUAGCAUUUGGGAUGGUGGCUAGAUCUAAAAACUUAAUAGGGUUAAAUGUGGUAGAACUAGAAUAGUUUUAGAAUAGAUGACCCCCCAGAAAGCAGAGUGUGACACAUGAAUUGUUCGUCUUUAUCCUAAUUAAACAUUAAUAACAUCGACAUUAUGGUAAACAAAAUUCCCAUUUCCAUUAGCUGCAUUUUCUUCUUCUACUUUUAGCUACAGUUAUUUUUUGCAGAAUGUUUAUCGAUGCAAAAGUUUGGAUCCAACUGUGGUAUAAAAUAGAUUUAAGAUUUCACAAUUCAAAAACAAUGCAAUUUCUAUAACUUUUCCAAAUGGGCCUGUACAGGAGAUCUAUGCUUUCAUCUUACAAACUUGCAAAGCUUAAGAUCUAAAUUGGCAAACCAAGCCAACAGGAGAUGCUGGCAAAUGCUCCUAGGGCUGUUUGGCCUAGAUUUAAAGUCUCAAUUUAAAUUUAAAAAUUUGAGUUUAAAAUUAUAUUCAGAUUUUAAAAAGCAGACUUUAACUGCUUCUAAUUUGAGCCUCUAAAAUUAAAAACUUAUUUUAGGAAUCAAAAUCAGAUUUUAAAAAAGAGAUUAUUAAAUUCUUUAUUGAAAGAAAAUUCACUUUUAACCUUAAAAUCACUCUGCUUAGAUGAAAACGGACUUUGGAACGGUCCCUUUCUAUGUGCCAUCUUAUGGCUUGCCCAAAAGAGCCCUUAUUCCAGUUGUUGUGGUUAAGUUUGAGAUACUUUCAUACAAAUAAAAAGGUAAAAAUAUAUAGAAUAUCCUUGACUUCAAAAUUUAAGCUAAUUUUUUGCUCCAAUGAAUUUGUAAUUGCGUGAAUUAUAAAAAGUAGGCUAACUAAAUAUAUAAAGAUAAACGUCAAAUUUGAAAGUCGAAGUAUCAUUGACUGGCUCAAAUCAAAUAAAUUAAAAGAUUUGAUAGUAAAUCAAAAUUUUGAAAGAUUAUAUAUUUAAUUCAAAAUUAUCCAUAAUUCAAGUAAGUUACAUAUGUUUUGACCCAAAUACUGUCACUAUAUAUUAUGCAUGUAUUAAUGUAUUAUUAGCGCUCCAAAGUCUUAGAACUUUUUGCUGUGUGCAGUAGGCCCAUGAGACUAAUAAAUUAAGUUAAAUGAGUCCAACGUUGAGUGGGACUGUGGUCCACAAGAAACCUAACGUUAAGAUGGAUUCAAUUAGGAUGAAAUCUGUGAGCGCUAUGGCUGAGCUUUUAAAUGUGAUGAGUGCGCCCUUAGUAUUAAUAUGUACUUUUAGAAUAGUUAGUCGGCGCUUACGAUCCAGAUUCGAUCUCCGGUGCUCCUAGGGAUGUCAAUGGGUAUGAAUAACCGAAAUUUUAUCUGAACCCGAACCCGAAUGAAACGGAUAUAUCCGAUAUUAAAUGGAUAUGAAUAUCAAAAAUAGAAACCCGACGGAUAUGGAUUCGGAUAUGGAUUUUGAGUUUACCCGACCCGAACCCGAGCCCGACCCGAAACUGAAUUUAUUUUAUAUUAUAUAUAAUAUAUAUAUAAAUUCGAUGUUAUCUUUGAAUUUGUAUUUUAAAAAUUUAGAUUUAAUAUAAUAUAUUUUGAAAUAUUGAAAAAAGAAAUACUUGUUUCGGGUUCAAAUUUUCGGGUUCGGGUUCGGGUUCGGGUUUCGGAUUUUUGGUCGGAUUCAGGUUUGGAUAUGAAUUUUUAAAAUUUAUCGGGUUCGGGUUCGGGUUCGGGUUCGGGUUCAGGUUUUUGAAAAUCCGCCCCAAAUCCGACCCGUUGACAUCUCUAGGUGCUCCUGUGGUUUUGGAGGAGAUUCUUGCUGUUCCAAUGGCCACAAAAGAGAGCAAUUCUUUCCUCAUAAAGAUUUCAUAAGCCUAACUGGCUGAACUAACCUGGCCCAAAGAACACUUGGCACCAGGUUUUUAUACUCAAAAAGUGGAUUAGAUCCUAAUUGUUGGUCCAACAAUUCAAAGUUGUAUUACUUUGGCAGGGCCAGGUUUGGGGGUAUACUUUGAACUUCUAAUCUUUUAUAUACUCUCUUCUAAAAACUUGAGAAAUAUCUAAUAUAUUUCUGAUUGACCAAAAUUCUCUUCGAAUUUCAAAUUCUUUUUUGAAAAAUCCAAAAACUCUUAAGGGUUCGGUAAUGGGAUUGGAUUUUAGAAAGAUAUUAUAUUUGAAAAUUUCGAAUAGUUUUGAAGUAUAAAUUAAUAAGCAAAAGCUCCUAUUUUGUUUAUUUUCAAAACACUAUAUACUAAAUUUCCUAGAUAGAAGUAUCAUGAUCAUGGAUAAUGUUUCAAUUAUGAGAAAUAUCUCACCAUAACUUUUUGCUGCAAAACAGGAAUAAGAUUUUGCCCUUUAAAAAAACCAUUGUAGAAUAGGAAUAAACUUUUGCCUAUAAUCUUCUUUGUCUAGAACAUGAAUAAUCUCUUGUAUCUUCUCUUGCAGCGAAAAUAAGAUCUUUACCGCCACGGUUAUUAAUUAAGGGAAAAAAUUAAAAUUUUUGGUAAAUUAGUCCUCAAACUUUAAUUUGUCGUAAUUUCUGGUUCGAACUUUCUGAAUUAUUGUGAUUAAAUUUCAUAAUCCAAUUUAGUUGGCUAAAUAUCGUCAAAUUAUUGACACGGAAGUAUUGCAGCAUUUUAAUUAUUGUUGCAUUAUUAAUCACGAUAUUUUCACAUUAUGUCUACAUUAAUAAUUUAUUAUUUAACCAACUAAAUUGGGUUGUGAGACUUGAUUACCAAUAAUUCAAAAAGUCCGAGUUAGAAAUUACAACAAAUAAAAGUUUGAGAAUCAAAGUGACACACGUCUCAUUCUUUGAGGACUAAAAGUAUAAUUUAUCUUAAAUUUUUUUUGUUCCAUGUUUGUUGAUUAAAGAGAAGAGAUGUUGAGAGAAAUCAUUGAUUAGAAAGGAGAGAUACCCAUGAAUAGGGAUGUCAACGGAUCGAAUUUUUAAAAAUCCGAAUCCGAACCCAACUACAAACCUGAAAUCCGAACCUGAAUCAAAAUCCGACGGAUUUUAAAAAUCCAUAUCCAAAUCCGAACUCAACCAAAAAUUUGAAAUCCGAACCCGAAUCCGAAAACUUGAAUCCGAAAUUGUUAUUUCUCUUUAUCAUAUUUCAAAAUAUAUUACAUUAAAUCUAAAUUUUUAAAAUAUAAAUUCAAAUACAACAUCAAAUAUUUAUAUACGUAUAAAUUUAUACCCGAAUCCAAAUUUGUCAUAUUUUUAUUUUUAUUUGUUUUAUAUCUCUUUCGAAUUAAGUAAAUCCACUUUGUUCGGAUUCGGAUUCCAAAAGUUAUCCGCACCCGUUAACAUCCCUAAUCGAGUCGCGCUCGAAACCUCUCUCUACACCUAAAAAACGCACUGUUAAAAAGAGCGGCAAAACCCUUCUCUCUCUCUCUCCUCGCUCGCGUUAAUUCGCCAUGAGCGACUCCCGCGAAGGAUCUCCCGAUUGGCUACGAGCAUUCCAGGUCAAUUUCCACCUUUUUUUGAUACAAUUCGUACGCCUAAUUUGUGCUUUUAAUCCUUUGAUGCUUCUCGAAUCAUUGUUAUUGUUCUUCGAGUGAAAGGAUCAAGUCGAAAUUGGAAAAAAGCGGAAUAAAUCGGGGUUAAAUCCUCUUUUUAUGGUGGUAUAUGCUUUUUUCUAGCAUGAUUUGUAGUUUAUUUAUGUUAAAAUUUUGAUCUUUUUUUUUUUUUUUUUUAUCUUAGGAGUGAUUAUUGGUAGUAUUAGUGUCACAUUACCUCAUUUGUAGCAAUUUAGGGUUCAUUUUGAUCUUAAAUCUUCAUCAUUUCGCUGAAUAUGGAUGUGGGUUUGGGACAUUAGAGUUUAUUUGGUAUCUAAGAAUUUUUAUUGGGUAGUAUGAUUAGAGAGUGUUGGUUUGGAACUUUGUAAAUGAAUUGGGUUGAUAGUAUUUUUUUUACUCUUUUCUAGGAUUUAUCUUUCCCAAUUUGGAUCGCCAAUUCACGAGGAUCAUCCAAAUUUACCCUUUUUUUUCCAAUCCUUUCUCCUAUUUGAAUUUCUGUUCUUGGUGAUUCAGGAUGAUAUUUCUUAUUGUUAUUUAGAUAUACAUUUUUUUCUUUCAUCCAAGUCCCUGAAGUUUUAGUCAAGUUUCACUUUAUUGAACUUGUAAGUAGAACAUAUGUCAUUCCAAACUUUUAGAAUUUCUUCACUUUAGUACGUAAACGUAGAGGAAAAAUUGUUUCGUGCAUCUGUGCAUCCAUUCACUGUGAAUCUUCAGUCCUCCAUCCAACUUAAUACUUUCAGUCCUCUGUCUCAUUUGUAAGUGGAGUCUGAUUUGCAAGUGGAGAUAAAGUUGCAAGUCAAUGGGUGGUAGCGAUCGAAAUAUGAGAUGGAUAACGGAAUGGUUCUGUGGUGCACGAAUGUACGAAUGCAUUGGGUGUAGGUAAUAAUAUCUCUUCUAACAAUAAAUAAUGACGAGAACUAAAGUGAAGCACUUUCAAAAGUUUGAAAUGUCGGAUGCCCAAGUCAAAAGUUUGUGGACUAACGGACCACAAUGAGACUUGGCUAAAAGCUUAGGGACUAGAGGUGCAAUUUACCUAAGAGAAUAUAUAUAUCUGAUCUAGCAUAUCCUAUAAUGAGCUUCUAUGUUUCUGCACUUUCACUACUUAUCCAAUUUUUUUACCUGUGAAAGUAAUGCAAUUUUAUGUUGCAGUCUAUUUGAAGAUCUGGUUAGUUUAUUAUCAUUCGAUUUCUUUUUUUUUUCUAUUGCAUCCUACAUACUUGUAAUUGAGGAAGCAAAUUUUUGGAUUCAAUAAUUUGUAUCAAUGCAAGUGAUUCUUGUUGAUACUAUGAGGUUAGCAACUAAUAGAUCACGUUUCUUACAUGAUUUUCACGAGAAUUUUGUUGGACUUAUUAUCUGAUGGAGAUCAUACAAGUUUUUUAGAGUGCAAAAAAGUCUCUGGUCAUCUGGUGUAUUUACUUCUUCAUCACUGCCUCCAGUUGUUUUAGUUUUAGUGGAUAAUUGAGAAUUUAAUGUGACUUGAUUUUGAAACUGAAUUCUGGCCUUAUUCUAUUUCACAACAUUCCGCUUUCUUGAACAGGCACCUAAUAGGGAUGUUGUGACACUAUCUUCUGGUUCUGAUUCUUCUCCCAGAAAUAGCCCGUCGAGGCCUACUACUACGCAUGACAAAGCACCAAAGAGACAUCCGGAGAAUGAUGACUCAAUAGUUAUUGAAAGUGGAGAAGAUAGUCAAGUUAAGGCUAAAAAGGCAAAAAAUGUAAAAGUCGAGAACUGUCCUAUUCUAGUAGAAGGUAAAUUUAAAGGGAUUCAAAUCUAUUAGGUAAUAAUGCAACUGUUGCAGCUUUUAAGUGUACAAAUGCUUGUGUGCAUGCGUGCAUGAAUUUUUGGAAGCACUAGGGUAACAGUGCUUCUGCUACUUUUCUCUUUGGACGGGUUUUGAUAUCCGCGCAUGCACACUUCAUUUCAAGGUGUGUGCCUGCAUGAUGUACAUCAAGCAAGGAUUGUCGUGCCACUAGCACGGCCGUGCAGCUGUGCUGACAGCACGGCAUGGCACGCCUUCCGUGCCAGUGGCUCAUCACUAGCUUUUUGGCACACAUUUGCAUGAAUUCUUUUCAAUUAAAUUGUCAUAAAAAUUAGUUUUUUAGAGUGUUUCAACAUCUCUAAUGAUUAGGAAACUAGUUUAUAUAUUAUAUCUCCCAUUAUUUAAUAGAAAUAGAGUCACAAACAUCAUAAUAACUUAAAAAAAUAAUUUUAUACAUAUUAUUGGAUAAAAAUUUGUAAGAAAACACUGCCAUGGGUAUAUGCAAUAGAUCUAAAAUGAUAAAAAACUUGGAGGAAAUCUUCUUAUUUGUGUAUAUAUAUAUAUAUAUUUACUUAAAGUUGGUCUUAUUAUGAAAUUGAGCUUACUAAUUUCUCCAAGUGUAAGUAGAUUUUCAAGAACUACAAAUUUUAAGUAUGAAAGCACUUAAAAAAACUCUUUACCUCAAAAAAAAAAAAAACUCAAAAAGAUUUCAGAAAAUGUGAAAAAAACUACUUUCUUGAUACCAACCCCGUGCCACGUGCCUGCCAGCACAUGGGCAGCAUGAGGCGGCAGGCACAUGCAAUACUUGGCAUCAAGAUUCCCUCUUAUUAGAGGCGUGCAUACAUGACAAAGCCAAUUUGACACAAAAAAAUGAAAACUUCAGCCCCUCAUUGCCUCCAAAACUAUUCCAGCACAACUCCUUUCUCUCUGUAUUUUAUUUAUUAUUCAUAUAUAUAUAUAUAGAGAGAGAGAGAGAGAGAGAGAGAGAGCUAGGCUGGUAUACUAUCGGUAGCACGAAAGCCGUGCUACCAAGUUGUUUUCAAUGAUGCGGCUUUCAAAUCGACGAUCGGCUCCAUUAGACUUGAUCUACACUAUUAACAGUAUUUGGAAACUAAAUUUCAUAAUUUUUCAACAUCAUUUGGCUUGUGAUCAAAAGGUCUCAAAAUUGACAAUUUUAAUGGUAGAUGUGAUGCAUUUGUGAAUUUAAUGGCGUAAAACAAUCCAAAUCUGAUGAAAUUUUUAUAGAAAUUUUUUUUCACUAUUUAGAGUAAGAUCAAUACCUCUGAUCUUAAAUUCAAGUCUUUUAUCAUUAUUUUUUAUGAGAUUUUUAUUUUCAGCCGUUCAUUUUUAGACUACUCGUUUGAUAGGUAAAUGAUGCCGAAAAAUUAUGAAAUUUAGUUGCCAAAUACUUACAAUAGUGUAGAUCAAGUCUAACGGAGUCGAUCGUCGAUUUAGAGGUCGCAUCAUUGAAAGCAACUUGGUAGCACGGAGGCCUUCGUGCUACCGAUAGUACACCAGCCUAGCUCUCUCUCUCUCUCUCUCUCUCUCUAUAUAUAUAUAUAUAUAUAUAUAUAUAUAUAUAUAUAUAUAUAUAUACAUUCUCAUAUGUGCCCUUCGAACACCCUUGGAAAACAUCUUCUAAAGCAAGACCAACUUCCCUCUUGGAAUUUAUAACUCUCUAACUUAGAAUAAGGGUAUUUUUAUACGAAACUCGACAUCUGAGGAGUGUAUGUGAAUAUUUAAUCUUACACAUGUAUAUAAGCCCCUGUAUUAUUUUACCUUAUUACGAUUAUCUUGGUGUGUUCUAACAUAGAUACCUUGGAUACACAAGAGGACGGACCUGCUGAAGUGGAUAUUAAAGAAAAAUCUAGUGAUCCUCCUGUAAGAUGCUAAAUAUGUGCUGUUUCUCCUCUAUCUUCAUCCGUAUGUGCUAAUGUGUUUUGUUUUUGAGUUAACCUAUGUUUCAAUUCAAAUCUUAUUAAGAUAAUUGACAUUUAAUUAUACUGUGUAAAUUGUUGUUUCCAUGUUAUGUAAACUAGGUGCCGAAAACUAGUAGUUUUACAUGAUCUGUAUGAGCAAAUGAGGUUUAGUAGUGGUUGUUGAUAGGACUGUAGGGACCAGAUGUUUGACUUUUUACCUAUUUCUAUGAUGGAUUUUCUAUUACUCUGUUUGCUUAAUUCUUUGAUGAAGUACAUUUUCUUUUGAACUUUAGGUUUCUCAGAGGUUGCCAUUGAUCUUCCCUGACAAAGUUCAACGUUCAAAGGUACAACUUCUCCUAUCUUUGAAUGGUUGUGGGUUGAAGAGAAUUUCUUCUUUGCUGGAUCUGUUAAUUCAUAAUUUACAUUUAACUAGCUCAUUAAAUUGUUUUUUAUGUAGGAUCUCCACCAAAUAAAAGAAUGGGAAUUUCAAGAGAAAUUUACUUAAUUAUGUAACACUCCAACCAUAAACUUUGGAAGUGCUAAAUCAUAGGCUAGAAGCAGUUUAUGCUUUCUGAUAGCAAGAAAUCUAUGGUUUAGCCAGAUAGUAUCUAAGCAAUCUCAUUCAAUUACUAAAGCUGAGGAUGAUUUAAAGCUAGCAUUUUCGCGUCAUGAGUUUCAUUUUGGAUAUUAAGCUAAAAUUGAAAGUUUCUUAUGCAACAGAAAGUAUAGCCAUAGGAACUCGUAUUGCCAAUGCUUGUAAAAAAUUGUUGCACAAGUUAGACUACUCCCCUAAUGAAAAUCUCAUACUAGACUAAACCUCAUGAAGUUAUUUUGCUAUCAUGAAGUUGUUGUGCUAUAUUCUCUGCUUUAGAUAACUGUUAUAGUAUUCUUGAAUUUUGUUGUCGCAUAUGCCUGUGAUAAAUGUUUCACCACUAUACCCGUGUCUGGGGUGUGAAUGAAUAUACAUCAGGUUUUCACAGCACACAAGAGAAAACCAAAUAGGGGUAUUUUUGCAAUAUUCCAUAUUUGUAUUUGCAGGGGAUAUGUUUUUGACAAAUCCAUUUUACAAUUUGAUAUUGUAGUGACACUGCCUGUUUGGAAGAUUGUCCCAUGAAAACUUGGUUGAUGCAAGAUCAUUGCGAGAUCUAUCAUGUUUUAGUACCAGAAUGUCAUGGGCAUACAUAAUCAAUUCUAAGGGCAUUAGGUUUACUGAUUCUUUUCUAAUUUCAAGUCAAACUACUUCUCCACAUUGAAACUACCUAUAGAUCAUGGGUUUGAAAAUUUGAAAAUCGAAUUUCAGUAGGAAGCUUGAGUCAUAUCUUAAAUUGUGCCAAAUCUGGGGCAUUAUGAAGUUGGGUUCAGACUUCAGACUUGUCUACCUUUACUCAGCUUUACCUUAAUUCUAAAUGCAUUAGGUUUACUGAUUCGUUUCUAAUUUAAAGUUUGAAUCAGCUCUGAAACUACUUGUAAAUCAUGAAUUUGAAACUUGAAAAUUGAAUUUGAGUAGGAAGCUUGAGUCAUUACUAAAAUUGUGCCAAAUUUGGGCACUUUAAAGCUGUGUUCAGACUUCAGACUUGUCUAUCUUUUCUCAUCUUUACCGCGAAGUGUGUGCUGUAUUGUAUCUCCAAUAAGAGUUCAUCUUAUGAGCAAAAAGUAGAUUUUAUUGAAAUUAUCUAAUUGGUUUUGUUCAGUUCCUUCGGUUACAUCCUGUUGAAAUGUAAGUUACAGUAUGGAAACAACAAACUCACUAGAACUACAUUAUCAUAUUUAAAUAUGGAAAAUAUGCCGCACCAUGCCUUCCAGAGAAGUCCACAUAAAUAACCGUAAGUUAGAUUUUUCUACAAAGUAUCUUUUUGGUAGUGCAGUGCGAAAAAGAUGUGUAUAAUCUGACUAUCAGAGUGUCAAUUGUUCUGCUUGAUACAACAAACUUUGGUGAAGAAAUUCACAACAUAUCAAGAGAGUUGUAACCUGUAAGAUGUCAAAUAUUUGGCUAUCGACACUAUGAUUUUUAGUAGCAAUGACUGUAAUUGCUCACUGUGGUGCUUGGCUAUUUUUAGCUGAAGUUGAUUAUGUACAAUAUAAUCUCAGUUCCUCUCUUUUUGGUUUUACAUCUAGGCCCUUGUUGAAUGUGAUGGAGACUCUAUAGACUUGAGCGGAGAUAUUGGAGCUGUUGGACGAAUUGUAAUUUCAGAUGGUCCUGCAGGGAACCAAGAAUUGCUAUUAGACCUAAAAGGUAGCUUUUAAGAACUUUAACAUCUUCAAGUUUGUUAUGCAGCUAAAUGUCAAUAUGCUCAAUUUUAGUCUUGAAUUUUUUUUUCUUUGCUUUUCUUUUUUUUGGAACUUGAAAUUCUAAUAAAGUACAAGUUUUAUCGCAUUAGUGAGGAAAGAAGUGUAUUCUUGUCAGACUAGUAUGCUGAUAACUUAUAUAAUAUUAAUAUCUAUUAAUAUCUAUGAUCAGUUCUUUCAUGGUUUCUUGAUUUUGCAGAAAUAAACAUUAAAGAAAAUGAAGGUCUAAGUUUUAAUUUCUGUUAUGUUUCUCGGAGGAGAUUGAUCUUGUGCUAGAUUGAUCUUGUGCCUACUCUGUCAGCUAAGGUCUAAAUCUUUGCUUGUAGUGAACAUACUGUUACCAUUUUAGAUCUGGCAAGUUUUGGUGUCAUUCUAAAGUCUAAACUUUGGGGAUGGAUGAAUAUGAAUUGAGCCUCUUUCUCUUUCUCUAUUUAUUAUUUUUUUAAUAGAAUCCUAGCUGGUGCUUGACUAGUGAAUUUUAGGUCUAAGGCCAUUGCUUUGGAAAGCUAGGCCCAUGCCUGGUUAUUACAAGUCAGUCGAGAGGGUCAAUAACCAUUUGACACCACAUAAAUAUUUUGAGUUUGCUUGCAUGUAUUCAGUUUGGCCUUUUAUUCCUAUCUGGAGCAUGGCUUUAUUCUGCUGGUUGAUCUUAUUUCUCCAUGCUUCCUUGCUUAGUCUAGAAAAAAUAGAACAUAGAGCAAGAUGGAAAUAGUAUAUUAAGAGUGCAGGUUGUUCAUUUUUCAAUGCAGGUCAUUAAUUUUUUCCUUUUACAUGAGACAUAUAUAAACUCACUUAAAAAUUGUGAAUUUUUUAAUUCUAGAUAUUUCUAAUAGUUUAGAUAUCAUCAAAAUAGGCAUCCUCACUAUUAUGCCUUUAGUGCAACAGAGUACUGCAACAUGACCAGUUUCUGCAUAAAUAAUAGCUAUAACUUUCUCAUUUGCUAACUUGGUGACUUGUGGAUAAUUUUCCUUUUAAGAAGAUGAUUCCUUCGAAUGUGUGCUUUGACUUCUUAGAGUUAUCUUUUUUGAUUCUCUUUCUUAUUUCCACUUUGUUUUGACCUCUUGAAAUUCUUAUGUAUUACUUACCUAUAUUUUCUUUCAAUGGGCUUAUUAGUUCCUAUCACUUUUGUACUUGUAGUUAAUGAUUUUCUUUCUGUUUCUGUUGGUGGAACAGGCACAAUAUAUAAAUCAACUAUAGUUCCUUCACGAACAUUUUGUGUAGUAUGUUAUUCGUCCACCUUGAGACCAUUUAUUUCUUGCUUCUUAGAUCAUUAUCUUUCCUAGAUUUGUUUAUGGCGGUAUUUCUGUAUGCAGGUUAGCGUGGGACAAUCAGAUGCAAAGGUCUGUCAGCCUAAAUCUCAGUCUAAGAGUUGUUAAGUUCUCUACCUGUGCUCCCUUUUAGGAUACAAGUUCUGUUAUGAAAAUAGAUCAAAUUUAAAAUCGUCUUCCGUAUCUAUGAACAUGUAGUUUGCUUACGAUUUCUUUCAUUAUUUUUCACGUUAUAAUUGGUUUUAAUGAUUCGUUACUUUUCUCCCUUUUCUUGGCAGAUUAUUGUCUGAUAAUAAUUAGUAUUCUGUUCUCAUUUAUGACUUAGUCGUAAUUAAUACUUUUGUUUAUUAUUUGCAUUGAUUUGGCAAUAUUUGUUUUAAAAGUAGGUAUUUUUCCAGUGAUUUUGCUUGGAACUCUUGCAGUUAUAUCUAACUAUAUUUUCAGAAUUUUCUUUUCUGAAGUUAUUCACAUAAUUAGUGAUUUUAAAUGGUGACUGUGCAGAUAGAAGCUAUCAUGAAUGAUUUCAUUCAAUUGGAGCCCCAAUCUAAUGUGUUUGAAGCUGAGACAAUGAUUGAAGGUUCCUAUUCUUUGCCCCCUUUUACGUCAUUGUUCAAACAGUUUGGAUUUACGGGAGCUAAUUUUCUAGAACAGAUUAAUUGAAUUCUACUCAUUCGCCCUUGAUUUCCAAAAUUUGUCUGUAAUGCUCGAAUUCCUUAAGCCAAGCUUAUUGACUUUUCGGGUAGUAAUACUUUAGAAAUAUCUUAGUUCUUUUACAAGUAUUUGUACUAGGGCUAUUAGCUGAGCAGUUGCUUAACUUCAUCAUGCAGAGAAUUGCUAAUUCUGAUUAGUUGUUUGACUUUGCUCUUAUGAUGUUCACAGCCAUUGCCUUUUGAAAAUCACAAAGCAGACUUGUCCGUUGUCCCAUUACCCCUUGGGUCUCUUGGCAUUUGAUUGUUAAUGCAGUUUGCUGCUUGACAAACAUCAGCUGACAGCCAUGUCUUUAUUUAUAACAAGGAUUUAAGUGCCGUGACACGGAGUCGUGCCAGAAACUUGCUGGCACGGUGUAUGCCAAGCCGUGCCGAUGCGUGUCAAUCACAAAAAUUUUCUGUGUGCUGACACAUAAUAGUAUGUUAGCAACAAAAUAGUCUAACUGUUUAUUAUGUAUUUUUAUCAAAUCUUUUGAAUUUUAUUGAGAAAAUUACUUACUAAUUUAAAGAAUAGUGGAUUUUGAGCUGUGCCAUCGGCACGAGGGCUGUAUCGUGUCGAUAUCUUGUUGGCACGAUACGGCACGGUAGAUUUGAUGGACGCUUAAAUCCUUGGUUCAUAACAAUGCAAUUUACAUUUAUGAAGCUAAAAUUUGGAUAACUUCCUUGUAUACUAGUGUAAUGGCCCGCGCUUCGCGGCGGGAGCUAAUAAUGCGGGAAGCUAAUAAGAUGAUUAUUUUAUUAUAUUUAUUUAUUAAGAAAUAUAGAGAUACAUAUAACAUUAACAUUAUGUAAGAUAACUAAAUACAUAAGACAUAAUCUAAUAUGAUACAAUGUCAUUUAUAAUGCAAAUAUAAUUGGUAAAACAGUUUCCAGAUUAUGGCCUACCUGUUCCACUUGAUUUCUUGCCGAUGUUAAUCUUGCCCGGCCCUUCCCCAGCUUUCGAACUGCAUAAGUAUGAACAAUAUCUCACAUAUAUACGGUUACUGCAAACAUGUUGGUUUAUCAUUAAGUCUGAGUGCAUUGCAAGCAUAGAGACUUACUGAUAUUUUUUUCUUUAUCUGGUCAAGUCAGCAGUUCUCGGCGUGUAUCAUGUUGGUUUAUCAUGUUGGUUUUUAGAGUUUAUGUUCAUCUCCGAAUUCAAGUAUGUCACGGCUAUUGCAAACAUGGCAUUCAAUUUCAGUACUAAUUCCAAAUACAUUAAAGUGCUGGACUUUUUUCCCACAUUAAACAUACCUUGAUCAAAAUAGUAAGGCAUUUUCUUAUCAUUUUAGAUAAAGGCAUCGAAAUAUAAACAUAGAGCAAGAACAGAAAACUUUGGAGAAAACGUAAUUUUCGUAACCAAUUAUUAAUUUAUUUUAAUUAAGGGAGUAAUGGAAAAUAAAAUGCAUCUAACAUAAAGAGACGAAAAGACUGUAAUUAAUUAGUCACAUUAUUAAACUGUUUUAAAAAUUUACCUAUGAAGUCAGCAAAAUUUAAGAAAGAUUAAAUUCAGAAAAUUCUGCACAAAAAUUUGAUGACUGAUAAUUAAUUAACUUUAAGUAAGCAAGUCAGGCAAGAAGAAACAAAAAAAAAAAAAAAAGUUACACAUUUAAUUUUUUUUAUUUAUCUAAGUUUAUCGUUCUAGUAUAGAAAGAAACAUAUUUGUUUAGCCUAAAAUAUUAAUUUAUGUAUUUUUAUACCAUCAAGAAGUACACUCUAUGAGAGUAUACAUCAACAUAGUUUUACCUUACCUUACGAAAGUAGAAGAUAUGGACCCCAAAUUAUUCUAGAAAAAAUACAUCGAUAUGACUGGCUGGAUUUAUAUCAUUUUGGAUCCUCCUCACAAAAUUACGAGAUAGAGCCAAGGGAAAUUACUCCUCCUUCCUAAAGUAAAUGGGUCCUAAUAACUCUAGUAGAAGUUGUAAGUGUAUAUAUAUAGCAAAUUGGAGAAUAUUCUAUAUCAUGGUUGAUGUUGAAAGACAAAUAGGUAGAGACAAAAUUAAAGGUUCAUGCACCCUGUGUUUGAUGUUAAACAAUAUUACUAUAUAUAGAAAAAGUUGGGGAGGAUGCAUGCAUCGUAAUGAUAAGAAAGAAAGCAAAAGGACAAGGAAUAUUCUAGUACUAUGGGAAAUCUUGUUUAAUGCACCCUGAGUUUGAUGUUAAACAACAUUGCUAUAUAUAGAAAAUGUUGGGGAGGAUGCAUGCAUCGGAAUGAUAAAAAAGAAGCAAAAGGACAAGGAAUAUUCUGUAAGAGAAAAGUUUAUUUUGUGUGCAAGAUACUAUUUUUAUUGGACUUAGAGAAGUAAAAGGCAAUUUACAAAUAAUUCAUGGUGAAAUUGGAGUGAAAACAGAAGAUUUAGAAUUUUCUGUAAGGAACGGAGCUUUUUUUUAGCAGAGAAUUCAUAGUGUCAGAAAAUUAUGAAAAUUUGAAAAUAUGUCGGAAUUAUUUUUCUGAGGGGUUAAUUACACCAAUUGUCCCUAACCUUUACACUUUUUCAAUUUGGUCCCUAACCUGUUUUUUUUGCAAUCAAGUCUCUAAUCUCUUGAUUUCAUUUCAAUUAAGUCCCAGCUGUUAGAUAGCUGUCAAAAUUGACGGAAAAUGCCACGUUAGUGCCACAGAGGCGUCAUGUCAGUGCCACGGAGGCGUUGUAUUAGCGCCACGGUGGCGUUGUGUCAGCGGAUUGCAAAAAAAAAGGUUAGGGACCAAAUUGAAAAACGGUGCAAAGGUUAGGGACCAAUGGUGAAUUAACCCAUUAAAAUUAUAAAUUCAAAAAAAAAUUUAAUUUAAGAUUUAAAUUUUAAAUUUAAAUUUUGAUUUUGGAUUCAAAUUUAAAUUGGAAUUCAAAUUCGGAUUUUGUAUUUAUUUUAAAUUUUAAAUUUUAAAUUCAAAUUCACAUUUGGAAUUCUAAAUUCUAAUUUAAUUUCAAACUUUGAUUUGAAAUUUCAAAUUCAAAAUGUGAAGUUUAAAUUCAAAUUUAGAAUUGAAAUCAAAUCUUAAAUUCAUAUUUAAAUUUUGAGUUCAAAUUUAAAAUUUAAAAUCAAAAAUUUGAAUAUGAUUUUAAAUUUAAAUUUGGACUUUAAAUUUAAAUUUCGGUUUCAAAACUUUCAUUUUAAAUGUAAAUUGAAAUAUCAAAAUCAAAAUCAAAAUUUUAAGUUUGAAUUCAAAAUUUAGAUUAAAUUUAAAAUUUAAAUUUAAAAUUUGAAUUUCAAUUCAAAAUUUUAACUCAGCUUUAAAUUCAAAUUCAAAAUUCUAAUUUCUCGUUAGUUUAAAAUUUUAAUUUUAAUAUUAUUUUUGAAUUUAAAUUUAAAAUUUUGAAUUUUUAUUUUUAGGGACUAAAAUGAAAAACGUGCAAAGUUUAGGGACCUAAAUUAACAUGCAAAAAGGUGCCAAAUAGGCGCUGACGUGGCGAUUUCGUUAAUUUUAAUAGUUUUUUAAUGGUUGGGACGUAAUUAUAAUAAAAUCAAGAGAUUAGGGACUCAAUUGCAAAAAAAAAAAGGUUGGGGACUCAAGUGAAAAUUGCUGCGAAGGUUGGGGACUACCGGUGUAAUUAACCCUUUUUCUGAGGCUGGAUUUAAAGUUUCGUGUCAUUCGGACACUUGGAAAGUAGAAACGGAACAUAACAAUAAUUUGAUAAAGAUUUUAGUUGGUAGACCUUUCGGUGACAAAAAAUGAUUCAAAACUGAAAAAUUAAGAUCACGUUCUUCUGAUUGAUUUUAACUGAGUUUGACUUUCAAAUUUGAGCGUAAACGGACAUUCGGAAGGGCUCCAAUUAAAAGUAUCAGAUUCUGAACUGGACUAAACUGUAAGUUGUAGUUGUUGGGGGGCCUAUAUGUAAGCCCACACCAUCUCUCCCUGGUUUUGCCCAACAUGUGUGAGAGUGGAGAAGAUUCUCUUUCUCUUUCUCUCCCACACACACCUACAACAUGAGAGCUUCUCUCUCUUUCUCUCAAACCCUCUACAUUUUCGCUUUAGGUAGGCUUAAAUUUUCAAACCAGUAGCACAUUAAUGGAUUAAGUAAACUAAAUAUUCCAUUGUUAGUGGUUAAGUCAAUUAUUUUUGUGAGUAAAUUUAAUAAUUUUUAAGCUUUCAUGAUUUCUAGGUCGGUUUUGCUGAAUUAUUGGAAUGAAUUCUGACAAACCAAUUUAGUUGCGUAAAUAUAAAUAUUUUCGAAAUAUGAAAGUAAUGUGCUAGUAUUACAAUUAGCCAACUAAAAUUACCUAAUCCAAUUUAGUUAGAUAAAUAUUGGGCCCAAAAUUAAGCUACUUACACCACAGCAAAUUUUCUUAGACUUGAAAGCUGAAAUGUGGUAAAUAUAUGUUGCUAAAUUACACUGCAGGGCCUUAAAUUAGAAAUUUAGAUGCAAUUCGCUAUCAAAUUUUAAUCUACCAUAUUUCCUAGGUUGGUUAAACUAUUAUAAUAUGACAGAUAACGACUUAAGGCAUACAAUUGCAGACAGUUGUGUAAUUAUUGAUAUUUUAUGUAAAAAAAUAAAAGUUAUGCAAAUCGCUCGUACGUUUUAUUUUUUCUACCCAAAAUUUGAAUUCCAUUGUAUGCUUAAUUAUUGAAGUUGUUUGGUUAAAUGGCGAAUUAUUAGCGAUGAUAUUAUCAGUUCAAAAAAAUCGAGUUUAUCUCUGAGUCCGAGUGCAGUGCAAACACAGAGACAUAAUGUUUUUUUUUUUAUUUAUCUGGUCAAGUUAGCAGUUCUGAGCAUGCAUCAUGUAGGUUCUUGAAGUCUAAGUUCAUAAUUGAAUUCAAACCCGCACGGCUACUGCAAACAUGGCAUCCAAUUUCUAUCCCAACUAUGCCGAUCUAGAAAUUUUUUCUUUCAAAUAAGAUCACUCUAUAAUUUACUGCACAAAUUCAAUUUGAUGAUAAGAAAGAAAGCAAAAGGACAAGGAAUAUUCUAUGUACUAUGGGAAAUUUUGUAAGAGAAAAGUUUAUCUUGUGUGUGAGAUAUUAUUUUUAUUGGACUUAGAGAAGUAAAAGGCAAUUUAGAAAUGAUUCACGGUGAAAUUGGAAUGAAAACAGGAGAUUUAGAAUUUUCUGUAAGGAACGGAGCUUUUUUUUAGCAGAAAAUUCAGUGUCAGAAAAUUUGAAAAUUUGAGAGUAUGUCGGAAUUAUUUUUCUGAGGCUAGAUUAAAGUUUCAUGUCAUUCGGACAUUCGGAAAGUGGAAACGGAACAUAACAACAAUCUGAUAAAGAUUUUAGUUGGUAGACCUUUUGGUGGCCAAAAUUGAUUCAAAACUGAAAAAUUAAGAUCACGUUCUUCUGAUUGAUUUUAACUGAGCUUGACUUUCAAAUUUGAGCGUAAACGGACAUUCAGAAGGGCUCCAACUAAAAGUAUUAGAUUCUGAACUGGACUAAACUGUAAGUUGUAGUUGUUGGGGGGCCUAUAUGUAAGCCCACAUCAUCUCUCCCUUGUUUUGCCCAACACGUGUGAGAGUGGAGAAGAUUCUUUCUCUCUUUCUCUCCCACACACACCCACAACAUGAGAGCUUCUCUUUCUUUCUCUCAAACCCUCUACAUUUUCGGUUUAGGUAGGUUUGAAUUUUCAAACCAGCAGCACAUUAAUGGAUUAAGUAAACUAAAUAUUCUAUUGUUAGUGGUUAAGUAAAUUAUUUUUUUGAGUCAAUUUAAUAAUUUCUAAGCUUUCAUGAUUUCUAGGUCGGUUUUGCUGAAUUAUUGGAAUGAAUUCUGACAAACCAAUUUAGUUGCGUAAAUAUAAAUAUUUUCGAAAUAUGAAAGUAAUGUGCUAGUAUUACAAUUAGCCAACUAAAAUUACCUAAUCCAAUUUAGUUAGAUAAAUAUUGGGCCCAAAAUUAAGUUACUUAACUCACACCACAGCAAAUUUUCUUAGACUUGAAAGCUGGAAUGUGGUAAAUAUAUGUUGCUAAAUUAUACUGCAGAGCCUUAAAUUAGAAAUUUCAACGCAAUUCGCUAUCAAAUUUUAAUCUACCAUAUUUCCUAGAUUGGUUUUAUAAACUAUUAUAAUAUGACAGAUAACGACUUAAGGCAUACAGUUGCAGACAGUUGUAUAAUUAUUAAUAUUUUAUGUAAAAAAAAAAAGUUAUGCAAAUUGCUCGUACGUUUUAUUUUUUCUACCCAAAAUUUGAAUUCCAUUGUAUGCUUAAUUAUUGAAGUUGUUUGGUUAAAUGGCGAAUUAUUAGCGAUGAUAUUAUCGGUUCAAAAAAAUCGAGUUUAUCUCUGAGUCUGAGUGCAGUGCAAACACAGAGACAUAAUAUAUAUAUAUAUUUUUAUUUAUCUAGUCAAGUUAGCAGUUCUGAGCAUGCAUCAUGUUGGUUCUUGAAGUUUAAGUUCAUAUUUGAUUUUUCCUUCCUGAAUUCCUUUGUGUGUGCGUGUCUUGGGUUAGGUAAAAAUGUAGAGAGAGCGGAAGGAGAGAUGACAAUUUUAAUUGGAGAGCAAAUACAUGCCCUCUGGACAAGAGGCCAUGUGAGCACAUGUGUGCGUGUGUUGGGAUGGAAAGAAAUGUAGAGAGAGGGGGAAGAGAGAGGGGAUGUAAAAUAGGCAAGUACAUGGCCUAUGGAUAUUGAGUCCAUGUGGGACCAUGUUAAAGGGAAGAGAGGCCAUGUGAGAGAGAGAAAAUUCAUAUGAAAAAAUGGCGACGUGGCUCGAUGGAGGUACGUCGUUUGUUUUCUCCUUAAGUAUAGAGUUUAAUAUCACGAUUUGUGCUUUUUCGGAUUUAAUAAUCAAGACCUACUUAUUACCCCCUGAUUUAUUAGAAAAUCAUUCCCUUUACCCUCUUAGAGGAGAGUAAGCUACUAAUAUUUUAUAGUUUUAGGGGUUUGUUUGUAGGUUUUGAUUCUCCAUUGGGGACGGGGUCAAAUUGCAAUAUAGUCACUGGGGUUAUAUGUAGGGGUGAAAACGGUUGAAUACGGUCGGAUUUUGACAAAAUCAUAUUUAUAUCCAUAUUUUCUUUCGGAUGCGAAUUCGGAUCCGGUUUUGUAUCGGAUGCUAAAUUUUCAUUACCAUAUCCGCUAAAAACGGAUUCGUAUUCGGAUAUGGAUCAUAUUUGUAUUCGGAUAUUAUUUCAAUAAUAAUAUAUACUAAUAUGUAUGAAUUAGCGUGAAUAAGAUACAAUGCAACUAAAGUUCUAUACUCGUGUUCAAAUUUGAUGCCUAUAUUUUAUUCAAUAAAAUCUAACAAGAUUAAAUGCAAUUUUAGCAUGAAACUUAUAAUAAAAUAAACGAAGAACACGACAGAAAACCACCUUUAUCUCCCUACAAUUUAUAUUAACAUUGCCCCUUAUCUCAUAGGGGUGAAAUGGUCGAAUAUGGUAGGAUUUUUGACAAAACCAUAUUCGUAUCCAUAUUUUUUUUUUCGGAUGCGAAUUCGGAUGUCCGAAUUUGUGUCUGAUGCUAAAUUUUGACAUCCGUAUUCGCAUCCUAUUGAAUCCUGUGUUGGAUUUGAUCGAGGUUUUUCUUAACCACUUUCACUCCUAGUUAUAUGCCUUUAGAGAUGGUAAAGUUGUAUCUUACUUGUUUUGGUCAUGAAUUGCUUAUGCAAAUAGCUCAUUAUUUUUUUCAUUUAUUUGUUCUUUAUCCUUUUUUCUGUCCCUUUCAACUUUCAAGGGAGAGAAUGUAUUUCUAUGAUGUUAUUUCAUGCCUAUCAAGUAGAUGAUGGCUAAUCGUUGUUUGCGGUACCUCUUGAUUGUGCAUGUUUCUGUUCAAAAUUCUUUUAUUUUACAAAUAGUUCCUAAUCCUAUGGAGUUGCUAUUUAAGCUCCACAUAUGCUCAUAAAAAUCGAUUAUUUGAAUUUAUUAGGUUUAAUUUUGGGUAAAUUGAACUACUGGUCCCUGCACUUUAGUCAAGUUUCGCUUUAAUCCUUUUUUUUACUUUUAAUUUGGACAUUUGGCAUUCCAAACUUUUAGAAAUGCUUUACAUAGUCCUUGCCUUAAGAGGAAAAUUUAUUGCCCACAUAUACAUCCAUGCACUAGAAUCUGUUAAUCCUCCAUCCAUCUGAUAGUUUAGUCCAACCAUCAAAGUUUAAAAUAGAGAAAAGGCUGCAUAUCAAGUUAUCAACUGAUGGCAGAUGUUGGGAUCGAGGGUUGAUGUACAGCAGUAUUGAUGUACAAAUGCACUGGUUGCAGAUUAUAAUUCUUCCUCUAACAUUUUCAAAAGUUUGGGUUAUCAAGCGUCCAACUUAAAAGUUCGGGGACCAAAAUAAAUCUUUGCUAAAUUUUGUGGACUAGUAGUGCAAUUAUCCUUUAUUUUAGGUAAACUUGAUCAUGUUGUUGGGUUCGCUGAUAAAAUCGUACUUCAAUAUAUGUUAGGAACUGUUUUUUUUCUGCACCAAAGUUUGCCGUACACUGGCAUGAGGCUUUCAGUGUCCCACUGGCACGGCAUAGCAUGUCGGCAUGCUUCGGCACAGAUCUUCUUUUAUAUGUUGGCACAAGUAGCAAAGCAGCACAUGCCUACUGCCACAGAAAUUCUUGAUCUGCACAAAUAAAUAAUUAGAUUUUACGUUAUUUCGGAUGAUCUUUUUUUAUACAUGUCUUGGUUUCCUGAAUGCUUCUAUAUUUUUAUGUAUCAACCGCUAUAAUUAUAUGAUUAUACAUUGUAGUUAUCUUUGAGUAGGUACACUUGAGGGAUUUUCAUUUGAUUCGGAUGAGGAGGCUGACAAAGUGCCAAAGUCGUCUGGCCUUCAAAACGAUCAAAACAAUGAAAAUGGAGAUCAACCCAAUAACACGAAGACCAAAAGGAAAGCUGAUAAAUCAUCGGUAUGUUUUGAAGCCCAUCCAUAGUUUUGCUGAUCGUCUUAUUUCCUUGUGAAAUUCUUUGAGGGGGCAUUGAAAAAGUAAAUCUUUAGAUGUUUCUGAAAAACUUUAUCCUUUGGAAUUUGUCGUGAUCGGCCCUUUCUUUCUGGUUUAUAAGUUUCUUAAAAAUUAUCUUCAGGAAUCGAACAUCAAGUCUCUUAAUUGGUAAAUAAAUAGGAAUGAUGGUACGUGCCGACAUAUGGUUACUUUUUAAUGCUGCUUCUUGCUUCUAGUUUAUGUAAUGUUGAAAUAUCAAAUGCAUAAUGAUUAUAGUUUGGCUAUUCAAUAAUGCACAAUAUUUUUUUUUUUAAUUCUUUUAAAGACUUGAUGUGGUUAAAAUUUUUUGAGAUACUUCUACAUAUAAACAGAUUGAAACCAGCAGGUCUAUAAUGACAUAGAAUUUAACAGCUACUGACUUUUGAUAAGGUAAAAAAUGCUCCCCUAUUCCGCCGUGGAAAAACUAUUAUUUCUUUUAUGUAAAAUGUAUAAAACUUGCCUGAACUAUAGACUAUUUUGAUUCGACUACCCAACAUUUCAAAAUUUUAAUUAUAGUACACAACCUUUCAAUUUGUUUGAUUUAAGUAAUUUGAUGGCUCUUCAAAUGCAAAAUUUAACCCGACUGCUUAUUUUAAUGAAUUUAUAGUUACGUAAUUUGUAUAAAAUAUACUAAAUAAACCCGUAAAGAUAAACGGUGCUUUCAAAUUUUGACUUUAAAAAGUCACUAAUUGGCUCAAAUCAAAUAAAUUAAAAGGUCAGGUAGUAAAAUCAAAAUUUUUGAAGGUUCGGUAGUCGGAUCCAAAUGGGUGAUAGUUGAGUUAAUGUUUAAACAUUUUUACCUUUCUUUCAUCUUGAAAAUUAGGGUGGAGGUCUUUCGGAAUUUUCCUUUGGGUAAUGAUUACUUUGAAUUCCAGUCUUUUGUGUCUGAGGGAAUUGCUUCUAUUUGGCCAUGAAAGUUUUUAUUGACUUAUUCUUAGAUGCUUAUGAAUGAAUUUUCACCAUUAGGUCACUAUAACAGUUUAUUAAGGUCGAUUUAAAAGAAAAAUACCACUGCUCAUGGUGACUAACAGUGAAUGAAACAUGCAGGGUCCGGUGCAUAAGAAGGCAAAAAAAGUGGAAAGACCAUCAACUAAAAAAGCAGUAAAGAAACAUCAAGCUGUGAAGAGAACAAAGAAGUCGAAGAAAUGAGACUUUCACAUGGUUUUUAAUCAUGCAUCUUAUUUCGAUCAUUAGAGGAAAACAUUCGGUUCGGUUUCUUUCUACCAUUUAUUCUUCGACGGUCCGCAAUUAUUGCUAGUGUAUUACACCGUGUAUCGUAUCUGUAUCAUAUCUUUCUUUUCACUGAAUUAUAUAUUCUAGUAGUAUUACAUUGUUUAUAUAUCAUCUUGACAAUCAGUGACUCAGAAUCUUUGAUAUUUAGUCAUCUUGACAAUCAAUGACUCAUAAUCUUUGAUAUUUAGUCAAAAAGCAUUAGUUGCUUCCGCUUUGUAAUCGUGUCUGACGUUUUGAAACUUCCUUUCUUCCCAUCAUCAUAGAAAAAAAUACCUUCCAAUAUUUGCGGUGAGCGCAUGCGGUUGUAUGUUUAUUGCAGUUCUUAUAUAUGUAUAUUUUUUCCAAGUAUGGGACAUUGAAACUUCCUGUUCCCUCUGCCUAUUGCUCUCUCUUAUUCAGAUAUUGUUUUCUUUAAUUCUUCAGAAUAAAGUCUGCGAAAAGUAAUUCUUUUACUUACAAGGAAUUGCCAAGACAGCAUCCGUCAUGAACUGAUCCUAUCAAACUCAAUUCUAGGCGGCUUCAAUGUUAGAGGUUGUUUGGUUGCAUGCAGAUGCUAUUUCAUUGCCGAGUUAAUUGUAUGCAAAUUCAAAUACGGUAUUCGAAUACAGAAUUCAAUUGUUGCAGUUUAAAUUGUAUCCAAAUUGGUUGUAGUUCUAUCCACUGCAAUUAUCGAACAGUUGAAUCACUCAAAAAAAAAAAAAAAAGUUUAAAAAGAUAUCUUCAAGCUACCGAACUACUUAUUUGGCCCCCAAAUCAGUCGAUGUUCCAACAACAUCUUCUUAAAGGACUAUAUAUCCAAAACAAGCCUUCUCUAGUCAGUUCUCCGAAAUUGCAUAAUUUUAGUUAAUGAGAAUGCAUUGUUCCACCACAACCCUUAGAAUAAAAGACAAGAUGUUAAUGAAAUGGUGUUGGAAACGGGCUUUUUUUGCAAAUAGACCCCUGACAAAAUUUUAUUUUAAAAUUAGCCCUAUCAAAUUUGAAAUUGCAAAAAUGAUCCUACUCCUGCCAGCAGGCGUUACGUCAGCGCCACGCGGGCAAGCUGGGGCCAGGUAUGUAAGUUGAACACAGUGAACCAUUCACCGUGUUCAAACACGGUGAAUGGUUCACCGUGUUCAAUUUAAACAACCUGGCCCCCGCCAAGCCCAGGGCGUGGCGCUGACGUGGCGCCCGCGUGACUGGCCCAGGGCCAUUUUUGCAAUUUAAAUUUUGACAGGAUCAUUUUUGAAAUAAAAUUUGUCCAGGGGGCUAAUUGCAAAAAAAAACCCGUUGGAAACCUUCUGCUGGAGAAGCAUCAAGCAAGACGCUUCUUCCAUGGAGGUUCCUACCGACAUUUUGUAGCGCUGAAGGAGUGGAGCUUUCAAUAUAUAAAUAUAUAUAUUUUUUAAGCUCUAAAGCAUUAAAUUGAUUGCAUUUUAUUACUCACUCCCAUACAAGGACCGAGCCAUUGGCAUAAUGUCACGGCCUUAGCAUUUUUACUCGCAAAGUCCGUGCAACGUCUGCUUUCCUCCUCAAAAAUAGACAAGCCUAACUCGCUAUUGCUAAUCUAGACCUCCAUGCCCUACGACUAAAUAUGCAAAAAGUGACUACAUAUGCAAAAACGAGAAAAAAGAGAGAGAGAGUGAUUCCCAAAAAAUUAAAUACUCCGCCUAUUUAGAAAAAUAGAACUACAAUACACAACUACUCUUCUUGUUUCCUCCUUAGCCUUAGCCAACCCUCUAUUUAUUGAUACAAAAUAUAUUGAACCUAGCCUAUAAUAAUUCACCCACUAAGCAUAUAUUAACUCUCUCACUAUCACAUAGUAAAAUAACUCUCAUGAACGUAAGGUGAUCUUAAAGGUUGCGCGUGACUUUUUCUCGAUAGUUUUGGAGCCUUUAUAUCCAGCAAUUACAUAUCCUUUUAUUUCCCACAAUGGCUGCUGGUUUGAGUCUCUUUGACAGCCCGUUCAGCUAGCGAAGUUGCUAUGCUAGGGACUUGGCCGAGCUGAAAUUUUCCUACGUCCCUGACAAUAAGGUACGCAAAGCAUAUUUACAGUCCAAACAUGAUAUCGAACUCAUAAUGGUGUUUUCAGAUCUUCCUCUGCACAAACAUUUUACUGCAAGGUUAGCGAGCGUUUACAAACCUCUACACAAUAACAACUAAAUAUACAUGAACCUCAGCAGGUUUUCGACAAAGCGCAGCACACGGCAAAAAACAAGAAUUUAUUGCGCGUCUCAUUGCCCGGUCACCAGCAUCUCUAAGGACAAACAAAUUGUAUGCAAGAGAGAGGCAUUCAUAAACCCACAACCCAAAAUAAUCUAAAAGUUCACUUCACAAUUUACCUAUUUCGAGAUGAGAAAAGGAUGUGCAUUUAUAGACAAACAAAGGAAAGAAUUAGAGUAUGUCUUAUUUAAAAAAAGAAAUUUAAAAUUGUUUUAAUGUCAGAUCAAACUAGAAGUGCCUUGGAGAGGAGGAGCGCCGCUCUGGGGUGAAAACCCUGUGAAUGGAUCGCUGAACGGAUUGGCCGGUGCAACGGCCUGGGGAUGUUGAGGGUAGUUAGGUUGAUGAUAAGGAUGCGGCGUCAUGUUCAUCGUCAUCGUCAUGUCAUGUUGCUGUUGAGCCAUCAUAGACAUCUGUACGUUGGUCGGAGGUGCAAUGCUAUUGGACAUCGCGAACGGGUCGUGCGGCUCGAAAGGAUUGGUGGCGGCCGGGCCACCAUAUGUUGCUGUGGUUUGUUGUCUUCUUGCACCAUCGUCGUAUAAGCUAUCAAGCAGAAGCUUAUCGAAGCCACCAGCCUAGUUGGACGAAAAGGCCAAACAUUAUCAAGACAGUUAAAACUAUACUAAUGAGUCAAACAGAAAAAGAAAUCCUUCUUACUACCCAACAAAGAGAGAGAGAGAGAGAGAGAGAGAGAGAGAGAGAGAGAGAGAGAGAGACUUUGAAAAACUCUUAGGACCAACCUGCUGCUUCAGUUACAUGACCAUGUCGCACAAUAUCAAAUGGUUAAUGCACAGCUUUGAACGACAGUUGCAUUCUUUGCCCGAUGAAAAAUUUUGGAUCACUUCUUAUGGUCUAGGAAUUUUGACUACUCAGUUGAUUCAACACCACUCCACUACAUGAGCAUUUCAGAAUGUAAAUUUCUUCCUUGAAAUUCAGAGAAAGAAAGACUACAUCCAGAAACUGUAUCUCAACCAUUCAAAAUUGUACACUGUUGUCCUGAUUUUUUUCCCUAAAAGUUGAAAAGUGGGCAAAGGUUUCAAAAUGAAAGUGCUUAAUUUUUCUUGCAAAUACAAAGUUAUAUACUUCUUCUAUUCCAAUAAAAGGCCAAUGUUAUAAGAAAUGGAGGAAAAAUGGAAAGGAGGUUACUUUAAAAAGACAUUUCAUCACGUAUUUUCUUCCUAUGCAAUGUGCUAAAAGGUACCAAAAUGGGCCAUUCCGAGACUACUCUGUAUUUGUUCCUAAGGAAUUCGGUUCUAUGGGUUCCAAUACCAAAUUUAAUGCUUCAUGCUCGUAUAAUCUAGCUACUACAUUUUUGAAAUACUUUUCAUAAAUUUAGCAGCGUUUCGUCAUUUAGAUUAAUAAUAAAUACUCGUAUGCAGAAAUCUGCUUCUAACAUCUACUUUAUUGACACGUAUGUAUCGUAGAUAAUAGAAUUAGGUAAUCACUUAAUACCGCUCCUCUGUUCGAGGGCAGAGAUGACUUUGAGAACUUCUUCUUUGAGAGGAAGAUCAUCACAUUCUCCUUAAGAUAUUAUGAUCUACAAAAUAAACCCCUACUUCUCUCAUACUUCACAGUGAAAAGAGGAGAGGAUCCAUUUAUAAUUCAUGCCCUUUAACGAGAUCAACCAAAUAAACUCACCAACAAGAGGAGAAAGGCAGAAACAAAAGAGAUAGACAUAAACUAGAAGACCAGUUUCGGUGACUAGCUGAUUGUAGAUAGGAGCUCUUGGGUUUCAAACAUUCAAAGAGGACGCCCAACCAGUCGACCGGGUUAGUCCACCUCUAGCCAGGAAUGUUCGUGUGAUAAACUCACCUAUAAAGUAGCAAGUUGGUUUAAUAAGUUAAAGGUUUUUUAGAACAAAAUACACUACAAGUCGUCCCAAAAAGUCGCAAGAAAAUGGCACUUGUUGGCCUGUAAGGUUGAAAUUUGCUCUUUGUACAAAUUACUGCAACUUUCAAGAUAUCAGCAGGUGAAGUAUCAGAACAUUAUGUUGUAGUGAAACUAAAAAAAAAAGGAAAAAAAAAGUCAAUCAAGCGUACCAGUUUGCUCUCAGUCAAUUGGUUAUUGUUGUUACUUGCUGACGACACUAAAGCUAAUUCCCAACCAGAAGAAUCAGUUGCACCACCAAAAAAGCCACUGGUACUAGCUGCUUUGGAACUGUCCCCUGCAAACAACAUGUUGCACUUAAUAGUUAAUACCAACAUUAAAUGAGCUCAUCACUGAUACACCAACUAUCCGAAGAAACAGAAGGUUCUAAAGCUUCUAGUUUCUUGGCAUAUUGAAUUAAAAAAGCAAAAAUGCUCAGUAGAAUUUCAGAUAGACUUUAAAAAAAGCAAGACUUUAGAUUUCAAGUGAAUAUUUCAAGAAUAUAAAUGUAUUAUUAACUACAGAAUCACCUGAUGGAAUGAUAGCCAGAGCCAGUGCAUUACUUUCUUCAAGUUCAGCAGCAACAGGGUUUAUUUCGUCCAAACCCUGCAUGAUCACACACAAGAUGAAUUUAUUUCUAUAUGAUAAAAAGUCCAAAUAGUGAGAAAUAGAUGAAGGAUAAAAUACUCACCAACAGAUCAGCUGUUGUUGCAGUUUGAGCUGCAAUCUCAACUGUAGUAGUAGGCUGUGGUUGUUCUUCGGGCUCAACAAGUGUAGGUUUUUCAUCUUCAAUUGUAGGUUCUUUUAUACUCUCUACAGGAGGAAGAGGAGAUGAUUCUUCUUCCUGUGUCACUAAGUUACUCUUCUGAUAUUCCUGUUUCAACAGAAUUUAGUCCGAUAAACACUUGAAUUUUAUUCUAUGCUACACAGAACCAACAACUGACCGACCCAAAACGUAUGUAUGAAGAGUUACGAGAUGCAUAGAAGUUUUAAAUUACCCACACCCCCUAAGAAAAAAAGCAAGUCCACUCUGUAAGGACUCCACAUUGGCAAGAGUUAAAAGACUCGGGAGAAGGAUAUAAAUGUCUUUCUGUACAUUUUUACGAAUUUCUAACAGGUUACAAAUAAAAUAUUCACAUCUUCCACGAGAAAAGGAAUUCUUAUAUGCUAAAUUGUAUUCGACCAAAAGUUCAUUUGUUUAUUACAGAAGUCAUAAUUCCAAAAACAAAAUACAAAUCAUUGACCACUUACUACGCUGGGCUAUAGUCAAGAUGAACAUAAAUAUGCACAAUAUACUGACACAAUUUCGAUAGACAGCAGGAAGAAAUAGAGCUGGUAGCAGGGAAAACUCCUUCAACCCCUUUUUGCAAUCCGUUAAUGUCAAACUAUGCACAAAUACAUAUUCAUGGUUUACUGAAAAUCAAGAAGGUACAAAUCCAGUGAAUAACUUAUUAGUCCAAAACAUAUUCACUUGUAUAGAUUAACCUAUAUAUAGAAGUGCAAUAGCAAUUUAGGCGCCCAACAUGCACGUGAUAACUAUAACACUGAGAAGUCUUUUUGCAGAGUGACUUUUAAAUCACAAGCCAUUUAAUCAUUUCUAAAGAAAAUAUAUACCAGUGAAGGCUCCAAAUGCAUCUAGCACAAGGAUGCUUACGAUGCUAACUUUCAUGCUUAAAUCAACAUUUGUUCAAAUUCUAUUACUCACAAUGGCCUUAUUUGAUACAGAGCCGGUUCGAGGUGCUUCUCUUAUGUAUUCUUCCAUCGUUGCGAGAAAUGAUGGAGGCGGCUGAAGAAAGUCAGCAUGGAAAAAAAAGAACAUCAAUUUUCGAAUAAGAAUGUAACAAAUUUAUUCUAUCAAUUCAAAUGCGAAUAACCACAAUGCUAGACCUCUUUAAGAAUUGGAAACUGGAAGUUCCUAGCAAGCUCCAAACCUCUGCAGAACUCAUAGAAGUCAGAAAGACUUUUUGCCUGUUGAAUAAACAGAUCUUCAGCACCCAGAAAAUUGAAAAAGAAACAGUUGGCAACAUAAUUCAGCAAAACCUCUCAACAAGAAUAUUUCCUGCCAGAAGAGACAUACCAGAUGGCCAGCUCUUUUGUAGAUGUCAAGAGCUUUAAUAGCAUCAAGUCUUGACAUGUCAAAGAACUGCAGUAUAUUAGUACUUAGUUAAGAGAAAAUCUACAGUGAUGGGAAAACUGGAAGAAAGAAGAAGGUCAUGGAGGUACCAUAUCGACAAUAUUGAUAAUCCCAUCGUUAAUUGCACAAUAGAUUUUGAAGCUCUCCUUUAAAACCUGAGUAAAAGGAGCAAUUCUAAGUACCCUGUUGUUUUUAUAGGAAUAAAAAUAACUUCACGACAAUCAAUUUCUUCAAGGAUAAAAGGAUUAAUGACAUGUGUGUGUUUAAUGAGGAGAAAUAGACUCCAAGAUAAAAUGGAUUUGUUUUCAAAUGCAGUCAGGCGGGACAUAUUAUUGAAUCAUCAUCAACAAUUGCUGAACUACAGGUUCAUCCAUGAAAAACUCAAGAUGUAAAAUAACCAAACAAUCAUAUGAAACCUGGCUAUUACGUUGACAGCAUUUGCAAAACUAAUAUAAACAAUACCAUCACUUUCCUGUAUAACUGGGGAAAAUUAAGCAGAGUUAUCACUACUAGAUAUUUGCCUUUAUACAUCAUUUUUUCUUCCAUCUCUGAGAGUAACAAAAGGAAGAGUUUUUUGUCAAUGGGUGAACAGAUUUAAUAAACUUUUAUACACUAAGGCGACUAGUGUUAAUAAAAGAAGUUAAACAACGGAAUUAAAAAAAUCUAUAGAACAUAUAAAUAAAUUAACCAGCACAGUAUUAACUGGGAAAGAGUAUUGAACAGAAAACAUCAUAAUAUCCAGUGCAAGUAUAGCCAAGAAUAAGCAGUAGUAAUCCUUGUUUGCGCAUGACAAUUACUAACAUUCCUAUUCAUGCAACUCCAGUGAGAAUGACAAUCAUGAUGAACUUGGAUGAUAUAGUAACUGUUUAUGACUAGUAUAACGGUUAAACUAAUAGAGCAUAUGGCUUUGAUUAAAGAAUCAAGCUACUUCACGCAUUACAUUUUACAAGGCAACAAAGCUUGUUAGCAAAUAAAGUAUGUUUUCAUUAACAACAAAACAUUACAGGUUACUGACAAAGGCCAAAAGUUUACAACUAUCACAAGCAAAAUAAUGCUUAUGAAAAGAUGAUGCAUUUUUUACCAUUUAAAUACUACAUAACUAUACAGGCUCAGACCUAAUAAAAGGGAGAGAGUAAUAAUGUUCUUUGAGACACGGUAAGUUCGCAACCAAUAAGAUGGAACAUAGCAGGACAAGAGGACAUACCAGAGCUAGUGCAUAUUGUACAAGAUAGUUCCCAAAAGCAGCUCCUUCAGGCUGCAAUAUUCAAAUAAGUCAGCAAGCAAGCUAUUAUCCAGAAAACAAAAAACUAAUCAAUGACCAGAAAACAAAAGACUAGUCAAUGACCAGAAAACAAAAGACUAAUCAAUGGGAAGUUUCACUAGUUUAUUUCUUUAAGAGACUCACCAUCAACCAAUAAAAGGAACAGAAAGUGGAAGUGGCAAUUUACUACCUGGCAGCCAACGAGGCGGAAAAGCAACUGCUGCAAUGCAGGCAGCUGUUCUAGAAGAUCCUCACAACUUAAAUGCCUUGUCCUACUAUGCCCCUUAAAAUUUCAUGAAAAUAAAAGAAAAGAGAAAUAAAUAAAGAGAAGAUCAGCAAUAGCUCCAUCAAACAAACUUUUUGAAAGUGAAGAAACACACCUUAGAAGACCCUUCUGUGGGUUUCGCUAAUCGUUCUGCUUCAAUAUCAUAUUUUAAGACCCUAAAGCACUCAAGUCGUUCCUCCAAGAAUAGUGCAUAUGUGCGAACCCAUGCAGAGCAAUCCCAAGCUAGAAGAAAAUUCUAAACAAUUCAGAAAUAUGAAUUUCAAGAUAAUUUACUUGCUAAACCUGCCUAUACUGCAGAGAAAACUGUGAAAGAACUUUUGCUGCAAAAUUUCAGCAGACAACCCUACCUUGAGGACUAGAGUCAUCCUUGAAAUUGGAUAUCUGCAAAACAUGUCCCUUGUGUGAAUAGUUUAAUAGGUCCUCUCUAAAUGUCGGAUCACCCUCUCUCAAUAUCCUGUGUAUAACUAUCAAUGUUUUAAGAGCAACCUGUAGAUAUGUAAUCGACAUAAUCAUAUCUGAAAGAUGGAUAAAAUCAACAAACACUGUAAGAGCAUUAAAUAUCAAUAAAAUACACAAAGCAGUAUUGUACUUUUAUAAUUGAUAAUAAACAAGUUUUUUCAACAUUGUGACCUUAUAGGCCUAUUUGGAUGCGUAGAUCGCUCGUUCGGUUUAUGUUUUCUGUGUACUCGAGAGACAUUUGGUAAUUGGUUGGUGGGAAGAUGGAAAGAUGUCUGCAACUGUCAUGUUAUAUACAGCCUCUACAUCAUUCUAAAAUUAUGAGAUGAUAAAUCAUCUCAUAGGUGGAAUGUACUUCCCUGGAAAUUUGGAAUUGUUAAGAUUUCACAACAGCUAAAAAGAUAAAAAUCUUAGGCCAUAAUCACAUGAGAAAUCUCCGUAAGGCACAAGUAUUCCAGCAUAGCCUGGUUCAACAUCCAAAUCAGUCCUAUAUGUUCCAUAGUUGUCAAUCAGUUCUAGUAUGAAUUAUAGGCACUUCUCGUCAAAACAUCACCCCAGAACAAGCAACUUUGAUUAAAACAAAUAAUGGUCUGUUUUGAUUCAUGCUUUCUGCUACAAUAUUUGCUCCCUAGAAAAGAGGAAAUACACCUUUAUAGUCAAAUUAGUGGUGCAAAUGAGUCAUGAAAGAAAAGAUAUAAUACCCUAAUCAUAACAAAUAUUUGAGGACUAAGGGAAGUCUAAUGCCAACACCCUUACAGGAAAUUGAAGAUUUUCAUCUUUGUGUGAUGUAAAUCAAUACUUAAGAAACCAAAUGAGAAACAAGAUGGACAAUCAAAAUAUCAAUGAAAAGCGGCACCAGGUUAGUUAAAUGCGAGUAUUCUUGUUUGCAAAAAUCCAAAUAACUUAUUGCAGUAAAUUUUGCCAUACUAAAAUUCCCUCAAGUAAUGACUUGAUCGAAGCAAAAUUGAGCAGAUUAUAUAAGAACAUUGGCCAAUCCAAACUUAUCUUAACAAACUAGAAAAUUCAAUAUUUCCAAUCAGAUCCAAAUUAUUUUCAACUAGUAACAACUUUACAUUGUACAAAUUGUGCUAGUAACAACAAUCAGCAAACAUCUUUGCUCUCAGUACGUUGAAGAUGGGAUUGAACUUGACUAAGAAAGAUUUGAUACAAAGAUAAACACCUAGUAAAGUGACCAAAUCGUAAAGUCAACUCACUGCGACAAUAUAAGCAAUAAAGAGAUAGAUUGAUAGAGAAACAUACCACCCAGUUAUGAGUCUUAGCUAAUCUCCUCGCAAGCGUGUGCACGCAAUAAGAAACAUCCGUUCGUGGACGGGAGGCUGAGGUAGCAGCAAAUAACUCUGGACCGCACACAACAUGCAGAAAUUAACAAAUUUAGACAACUUAAUCCAGUUACACCAAAUGAGAAACAGCAAAAUAAUUCCUUACCCUACAUUCAAUAACUCAAAGUACAACAUCAAUCGAACUAACCCGUAAAAGAACUCAACUCAUAACCAAUGAAUUCUUGUUUAAUCACCGCAGCAAAAGAUCAAAACACAACCAAUUGUAUAUGAUUGUAAACAAACUUCCACAAAUCAUUGCCAACCCUAAAGAAAUCAAUGAAAUAACAGCAAAUUCUACUCAAAGCGCUACUCACUUCUAAUGUGCCGCUCCUUCGGCGGCCGCUCCACGUGGUUCGUGGCCUUCACUACAGCGAUAUCCAGAUCCUACUAGCAUCAAAAACAUAGUCAAAAGAGAGAGAAGGAUCGGAGAAGGGAGAGAAAGGGAGAGAGGGAGGGGAUCGGACCUUGAAUUCGCUGUUGACCUUGGCGAGGCUGACGGUGGUGGAGUCCUUGAUGGCGCCGUAGGCCUUGCGCCAGCUCUGGAGCGUCCCCAUUGCCCACCUCAAAACCCUAGCCCUAACCCUAACCCUAACCCUUAGCGACGGGGACGAAGAAGAGGAGGCGGAGGAGGGGAUCGCGGCGGUGAUCGUCACCGCCGCGAGGGGUUUUAUUUCGAAACUUCGUUAUUCUCCCUUCGCCUCCCUCCGUCGUUCGCUCUGCGUAGAGAAUUAAUUAAUAAAGGAAAAGGGUUAAUUUCAUAUACGUCCCUGUAAACAUCACAAAUUAUAAAUAUGUCCCUAUAAAGUUUAACUUUUAUAUAUAUAUAUUUUUUUAAAUUCUGAUAUUUUUAAAUAUGUCUCCGCUAUUAGAAUCCGCUAGAAAAAAUUAGUUAAUCAUAGGUAAAAUACUUAAUAAUAAUUAAUUAAUAAGCAUUUUUAACUCUCUUCAAUUAGUAAUUCUAUAUAUUUGUAAUGACAAAAAGGUCAUUUCACUUGUAAAAUAAAUAAAGCUUUAACGAUAAUAAACCAGAGAGACAUAUUUAAAAAUAUUAUGACUUUUGUAGGGACAAUAUAUGAAAAUUGAACUUUGUAGGAAUAUAUUUAUAACACACUGUGUUUGUAAGGACGUGUAUGAAAAAAAAAAAAGAAUAAAAUUUAUAGAUGGAUAGUCCCUGUCCUAUCCUGAUAUUAGGAUUCGGUCCCUGUUCUAUUUUUUUUGCUUGGAGUGUUAAUUGCGACAUUGAUCCCUAACCUUUACCCAUAUUUCCACUCGCUGCCUUAAAUAUUUUACUAUUGUUGAAUCUUAAUCAUUCAAGUACUUUAUUAAUUUUGACGGAACAUCUAUUGUUAUCGUUUAGUAGGUCCCGUCAAUAUUUUCAAAUCUAUUUACUCACCGUUUGGUACAGAUAUAAGCAAGAACUAGCUAUUACAGAGAUAGAUACAAAUAUGGGGAUAAGAAAAAUAGCAUUUUGAUAAAAAUUUGGUUGUUUCCGGGAAUAAAAAAAUAGCAUUUGUAUAGAUAAUAUGGAAUAAGAAAAAUAAUGGGUGGUUAUAUAUAAAAAUUGAAGGUGUUGGUGGAAAUAGUUAUACUAAAUUAUUUUAAGUACCUAAGAAUUACUAUUUUCGGAUAAAAAAAUUAGUGUUUGGAUAUAAAAGAUUAUUCCACCCCUUAUUCCCAAUCCAAACAUGUUAAAGAAAAAUUAUUUAAAUUUUCAAUUGAUUGCGCACAGUUUCAAAAAAAAAAAUAUAUAUAUAUAUAUUCAUGUCGAGAGUUCCAAGGCAUUUUCUUCAAGUAAAAUAUAGUCAUUUUAUUAAAAGGGUGGAAAGCAAUUACAUAUUUUUUAAAAAAUUCUAAUUUUUUCUAGGGUAAACUACAAAUUAUUUUUCUAUAAUUUAGCUCAUUUUUACUCUGUCACCUUGCGAUUUGAAAAUUUUCAACUUACUUUCUUGCGAUUUAAUUUUUAUUUUACAAAAAAAAAAUUAUAUAAAAUAGAAUGACAGAGUAAGAUUUUUUUUUUAAACUACAGAAUAGCAAAGUGAAAAAUAUAGUAAACUAUAGUGGGAUAAACUAUAAAGUAAAACUUAUUGAACCACAAGGUGGCAAAGUGAAAAUAAAUUAAACAAUAAGGGGGAGGGGGCAAAGUGAAAUUUUUUGGACCAUAAGGUGUGGUUACUACUAUUUUUUUUCACCUGUAUAUAUUUUCGGUUAUAAUUUGUUUAUAAUUAUAUUGAACUAAACGACUUCGAAGUAGAAUAGCGUAAGUAAUAAAAAUAGGCUAAAAUAUAGAAAAACUCUCUGUAAAUACUGUUUUUUCUCUUUUACUUUUUCUCUUGACUUUCAAAAAUUUAGAUUUUGCCCUCUUAAUAUUUUAGAAAUAUUUUUAGAGAAUUAUAGCGUUAAUGGAGAGGACAAAUUAAUCAAAUUAUCUUUACUUAUUUUAUAAGAAAAAAAAUAAUUUUUUUAGUAUGUUUUUGUUAUUUUUAAAGAUAUUUUUAAGAUAAAUUAUAAGAAAUAGAUAAAAUAGUGAUGGAAUCUUGAUGAAGGGGGAGCUGAAUAUAUUAACUAAAAAUUUGGAGAGGGUAAAAUAUGAUUUUUUGUAAGUAAGAAAAAAGUGAAAAGUAAAUAUUUACAGAAUUUUAUUUUUUGUAUUUUAGCUAAAAAAAAAGAAUUAAAAAAUACCACUAACAAAAAUGGACCUUUUUCAAAAUGACCCUGUAAAAUACUGUAAUUGGGCUAAUAAUCCUAAAAAAAAUUAAAUUUGGCAAAAGGAGGGUUAGUUUGCCAAAUUUAAAUUUUGUAGGGUUAUUAAUCCAAUUACGGUAUUUUACAGGGUCAUUUGAAAAAAAGUCCAACAAAAACAGUGUAAAGGAUCUCUUCUUAAAUCGCACAUAGUUGAGGGGUCUCUGUGCAUGUUUUAUCAACUUAAAUGCACCAAACAAAAUUUUUUUUUUUUUUCAGUGAGUUUUAUUAGACUUUUUAGUCGCAUAAAAAAUAUUAUCCGGGAUCGUACAAAACGGAAACAGUGGAUUUCGCGGGAUUUAGCUCUGCAGUGGUUAUGCUGAGCUGUAACUAGGUGGCCAAUCGUCUACUUCCACGUGGCACAACUUGAUUGGAUGACGUUUUUUUUUUUUGCUUAGUUAUGAAAACUCCGCAUAUUGCUCCGUGUCAAAAAUACUUUUUAUAUAAAAAAAAUUUAGGAACAAUUGCUUAUUGCUUCAUGCAAAGAUAUUAACUAGCUAAUAUAUCCUCAUAAAACUUAAGUUGGUAGAUUUAUCCUCCUAAAAAAAAUUUUCGUUUAUAAAUAUAAUUUUCUGUUAAUAAAAUUUAGAUAACUAUGAGGUAAAAAAACUAACCAAAUUAGCUAAGCGGUAAAAUAACCUUUUUUUUAUCCUUUAUAUAUAUAUAUAUAUAUAUAUAUAUAUAUAUAUAUAUAUAUAUAUAGAGUUGAGUUAGAUAGUAUCGACAGUAAACGAGCCGUUUUACUAUCGAUUUGUUUUCGAUGAUAGAGCUUCCAAAUUGACGAUCGGCUCCGUUAAUAUGAUCUAAACCAUUAAAACUAUCUAGAAUCAAAAUUCACGCACUUUCGAUAUUGUUCUUUAUCCAUCAAGUGAACAAAAAAAUAAAUGGUUGAAAAAUAAUAUUCUUUAAAAAUGAUGAUAGGAGUCUGUAAUCAAGAUCAAGAGUAUAGAUCUUGUUCUAAAUAGUUUAAAGAAUUUUCUAACAAAAUUCAAUUGAUUUGGAUAUCUUUACGUCGUUAAACGAGAAAACGCCUCUUAUCGACCAUUAAAAUUAUAAUUUUGAAACUCUUUGAUCAUUAGGCAAAUAAUGUCGAAAAGAUUUAAAAUUUGAUUUCUAAAACACUUCAAGUGUAAGAUCAUGUUCAAUGGAGCCGAUCGUCAAUUUGGAAGCUCUAUCCAUCGAAAAUAGGUAGUAAAACGGCUCGUUACUACUGAUAGUAUUCUAGCAAAACUCUAAUAUAUAUGAAUUGAGCUCCUAUACUUUGAAAAGUACCAGUCACUGUUACUUGUAGUUUUCGGCCCUUGGAUUUAAGGGAUGUGCGUUUAGGAUGAUGUGGGUCCUCUAGGGUUGAGUGGGUAGUUGGUUGAAUAGUAUAAUCUAACGGUUGAAAAUAAUUAAAGACGUAGAUCUAACGGUAAAAAUUUACAAGUACAAGUGCUUGGUGCUUUUACAAGCACCAUAGGCGGGACUCUAUAUAUAUUAUAUAUAUAAAUAUAUAAUAAUAUAAAUAUAUAUAUAUAUAUAUAUAUAGUAGGCCUCCGUGCUCCUAAGCCGAUCGUCGAUUAGAGAACCGAUCGUCGAUUCAGAUACUUCAUAAUCGAAAACGGCUUAGGAGCACGGAGGCCUCCGUGCUCCUAAUAGCACACAAGAAUCUACUCUAUAAAUAAUCAUAUAUAUAUAUAUAUAUAUCAUAAUAAUAUAUAUAUGUAUAUAUAUAUACAUACAUAUAUAUAUAUAUGUAUACAUAUAUAUAUAUAAUAUAUAUUACAUAUAUAUUAUAUGUAUAUAUAUGUAUAACAUAAUAUAUAUAUGUAUACAUAUAUAUACAUAUACAUAUAUAUGUAUACAUAUAUGUAUAAUACAUAUAUAUGUAUAUAUAUAUAUAUAUAUAUCAUAUAUGUAUGUAUAUAUAUAUACAUACAUAUAUGUAUAUAUAUAGUAUAUACAUAUAUAUGUAUAUAUACAUAUAUUGUAUGUAUAUAUAUAUAAUACAUAUAUACAUAUAUGUAUACAUAUAAUAUAUAUACAUAUAUAUAUAGUAUACAUUAUAUAUGUAUACAUAUGAUGUAUGUAUACAUAUAUACUAUGUAUACAUUAUACUAUAUAUAAUAUAUGUAUAUAUUAUAUUAAUAUAUAUGUAUAUAUAUAUACAUAUAUAUGUAUAUAUACAUAUACAUAUAUGUAUAUAUAUAUAUACAUAUAUACAUAUAUAUGUAUACAUAUAUUGUUAUUACAUAUAUGUAUAUAUUAUAUAUACAUAUUAUAUAUAUAUGUAUACAUACAUAUAUGUAUCAAUAUAUAUGUAUACAUAUAUAUAAUGAUACAUAUAUAUACAUUUAUAUUAUGUAUACAUAUAUAUAUAUAUAUAUAUAUGUAUACAUAAUAUAUAUAUAUAUAGUUGAGCUAGAAUACUAUCGAUAGUAAACGAGUUAUUUUACUACCGAUUUGUUUCGAUGAAAGAGCUUCCAGAUUGACGACCGCUCCCGUUAAAUAUGAUCUAAACCAUUAAACUAAGUAGAAAUAAAAUUUCUCGCACUUAUAUACUAUCUCAACUCUAUAUAUAGAGUUGAGCUAGAAUACUAUCGAUAGUAAACGAGCCGUUUUACUACCGAUUUGUUUUCGAUGAUAGAUUCCAAAUUGACGAUCGGCUCCGUUAAAUAUGAUCUAAACCAUUUAAACUACCUAGAAAUCAAAUUUUACGCACUUUUCGAUAUUGUUCUUUUAUCCAUCAAGUGAACAGAAAAUGAAGGCUAAAAAUGAAUAUUUUUUAAAAAAUAAUGAUAGGAGUCUUGUAAUCAAGAUCAAGAGUAUAAGAUCUUGUUUUAAAUAGUUUAAAGAAUUUUCUAACAAAAAUUCAACUGAUUUGGAUAUCUUUACACCGUAACGAGAAAACGCCUCUUUUCGACCAUUAAAAUUACAAAAUUUGAAACUCUUUGUCAUUAGGAAAAUGAUGUUGAAAGAUUUGAAAUUUGAUUUCUAAACACUUCAAGUGGUAUAGAUCAUGUCAACGGAGCCGAUCGUCAAUUUGGAAGCUCCAUCAUCAAAACAAAUAGGUAGUAAAACGGCUUGUUUACUACCGAUAGUAUUCUAGCAGAACUCCUAUAUUAUUAUAUAUAAUAUAUAUUAUAUAUAUAUAUAUAUAAGUACAUCACUCGUACUUUCGAAAGUACGAAAACCUCCGUACUUGUAAGUUAUUUCUAUGAUAGGAAUCCGAUUUGACGAUCGCUUCGUUAAGUAUAAUCUAUCAUAUUGGAAUGUUUAGUAACCAAAUUUUAUAAUUUUUUGACAUCAUUUACCAAGCGAUCAAAAGGUCUCAAAAUAUGACUAUUUUAAUAGCGCGAUGUGGCCAACGUUUUAAGUUCAACGGUGUAGAAGUAUCCAAAUUAGAUAAAAAUUUAAUAGAAAAUUCAACUUAACAUCAAUAGCAAGAUGAAUACUUUCAAUUUAAAAUUUGAGUCAUUUAUCACUAUUUUUUAUGAGAUUUUUAUUUUCAGCCGUUCAUUUUAAAACUACUCGUUCACUAGACAAACGAAGCCAAAAAAUUAUGAAAUUUGGUUUCUAGAUAGUUCCAAUAGCGUAGAUCAUGUUUAACGGAAUCGAUCGUUGAAUCGGAAAUCCUAUCAUCGAAAACGAUUUAUAAGUACGGAGGCCUCCGUACUUUCGAAAGCAUAGGAGCCUAGCUNGAGCCUCUCUCUCUCUCUCUCUCUCUCUCUCUAUAUAAUAAUAAUACUAAUAAUAAUAAUAAUAAAUAUUAUGUAUUGUAAUUAAAUGUAUAUAGAGUUUAGGUAAAACCAAACCAAUAAAAUCUUACUCUAGUUGCUCUCUAUUUUCAUUUGCUCGCAGAGUGGUUUCCCCUAUUUCUUUAAUAUUAUAAUAUCGUAUCUCAUACAUUUUAUUUUGUAUAUUGAAUUAUUAGACAUUUUUUUAAUCAAAUUUUAGAUAAUAUUUUAUAAAAAUUAAACUAUAGAUUACACGAUGUUAAGAAUUACAAGCGGCUCGUUUAGGGCUAGAGCUCGCUCGACUCGAAGUUAGGCUCGCUCAAGCUCGGCUCGAAUUGAUUUCAAGUCGAAUUUGAGCUUAAAUUUAGAUUCUCAACUCGAAGUUAGGCUCGCUCGAGCUCAGCUCAAAUUAAUUUCGAGCCGAGCUUAAGCUUAAAUUUAAAUUCGAAAUUAAUUUCAAGCCAAGCUUGAAACUGAGAUAAGCUCGCUCAGGCUCGCCUCAUUUCCACCCCUAUUGGUGAAUGGAUUCGAUGCAUGGGACUUUGAAACAUUAAUUUGGUGCAUUAAAUGAGGAUUAGCUCUUCCAUGCAACGUAGUGUUUGGCACGUUAAUGGGAGAAGGGGACCUCUUCUUCAAUGGCACAUUACUCUCUCUCUCUCUCUCUCUUUUGAUUAUAGUACUAAAAUCAAUUCACCAUACUUAGAAGCAAUAUAAAUCCACCAAGGCCUUUGACCAAACAACAUUAUAAAUUCAUCAUAUUUGAAGAUAAGUUACCUACCAACUGAAUGAUUAGCACUGCUAAUAACAACACAAAAAUCUUCGAGCGCAGCAAAUCAUCAAGAUCUUACAAUGAAUCUGAAGCAUGAACAGAAUAGUUCAGAAAAAAAAAAAGAAAAAGAAAAAACACAAGCACAAAUUUCAACACUCAAAAUUGCUCGAAUUACUUCCAUCUUUUGUUUCAUUUUUCCGCUCAGCCGUCGACACAACACCUGAGAACUGAGACGGAUACAACAUUUACUAAUGCUUAUCGCCAAAUUCCCUCCCACAAGAAAGCAAGCACAUGAAUGGUAAUAUGUUUCCAGUUUUGUUUAAUAUGCUCGCAAAUGCCAUCAAGAAAUGCACUCGUCGCUCAAAUAAAUGCAAGCGGGUGAUGCUCCGACUUGUAAAAAAGUGCAUAUUCAGAAUUACAACAUAAAUUUGUACAGAAUGCACGGCACAGCACGGCACGGCAAGAUUCAGGGUUGAUGACCACCUUCCAUCAUGAUUAUGAAUUUACGGUUUCUGCUCAGAGCUGUUGCUUCUGGCUUGGCUGUUCUGCUUGGUGUUAGCCAGGCGCGGCCUUAGCUGCAAGAAAUCCAAUGCAAUUUUAAUACGACGAACAUUUGUGCACAAAUAACUACCGAGAUGGUCUAGAAACUCUCUUAGAUAUAACUCAAAAUGUCAAGUAAAUAACAGCACAUUGAUAACAUGAGAUAUCUCCAAAGAGAGUAUCAAAUCAUAGAAUGCCACCAAAAGAAAAACAUUUUCUAUUUCUUAGUCUUCCUGUCGACAAUGAGAUGUGAAACUAUUAAGUACGAACAAACUACAAUGGUUUCUUGUUAAAUAUUUUGUUCCUAAAAUCUUUCACAUUGUGUAUCUCAUUAUUUACAUCGUUGUGCCACAAUUAACCCUCAGUUACGCAUCUUUGUCCCUCAGGUUAAGUUUAAUGAGUUCAAGGAGUAUUCCCCUAACGACAUUUGCUCCUCAACAACAAAUUAAUAUUAGGACAUUCCACGUCUGAGGCCCUACCUAAUGGAUCACAGAUACCGUUCGAAGCAUCUUCCUGAAAACUUAAACACGCCUGUCUCUCUUAAUUUCUAACUAUUUAGGACUCUUCAAAGGCAUAGGAUUGCCACUGCAUGGAAAUAGAACUCAAUAUAGGAGCUAAUUUCCUUUAAAUUAGCAAUUUGGAACUUCCAGUUUUUCCAUAAGACUUUUUUUCAGACUAAGGUAUUAGUGUUAUUAGAGGACAUACAGAUCGCUUUGAGGAGAGGAGCGUAAAAGGAAAAAUGGGAUUGGAAGAGUGGUGAUUUAGGGACGAAUAAGAACCCUAGGGGCAAAGUGGACAUUUUGCUUCUCCAACUUACACGGUUUAAAGGAUUUGACAGAAGGAUCAAUAUGCACAAAGGAAAAUGUUUUCAAGGACAAUCAUGCAAACAACAAUUUUCCAGAGAUUUACAUGCAUUAUUAAACAAUUUUAGGGAGGACUAAGUGACUAAGAUGCCAAAAAAGUAAAAGACAUUUCUCAAAUUGAAAGUUACAAGUAAUCGAAGUUUCACAACGAGCUGCUUGACUUACCAUCUCUAUGUACUUUAGAUGCUUGAGGACAACUUCAGUUUCAACCUCCUACAAUGAAAUGCAAGAACGUAUUAGGAAAGAAACAUAGUAAAAAAGUAUUAACAUGCUCACGUGUAAUCAAAAGCACAAAUACAAGAAAAAUAUAUAACAAAGUACGAGCACUAGAAAUCACAUGAGAUUUAAAAAAGAAAGCAGCUAAAACAAUAAAAAAGUAGACAUUGUACUUCCUGUCUUCUGAUGGAAAACAUUAAACUCCAAAGCAAGUAGAAUUCAAGGCUUAAGCUGUCUACAUAACAAAACAACUGAAGUCACAACAUAAAUCUCACGGAGCCUAUGGACCCAUACAAGAUGUCUCUUAAACUUUAGUUUAAUUCAUCUCGGAGUUACUUAGAUCCUACAGGACCGCCAAAUAUGAGAAUAAUCAGUUCACAAUUAACUGCCAGUAAUAACUGAAGUGCAAUUGAAAAAGAAUGAAGAAGAAAUUCCGUGCUGCUAGACAGCUUAAAUUGCUUCAAAAUUCUUUUCGACAAAAAUGUUUGAAUGGAUUUAACUAACUUUACACAUCCCCUAAAAGAUCCCAUGCUUCAUUGCCCUUACUUUGAGGUAAUCUCAAGGCAUCUCCACAACUCAACCCAGUAGACUCAAUAAGUUGUUGACUAACUUCACAAGUCACAAUUACUUUCCUGGCAACACCAGAGUUCUUCUUAAAUUAUUACAAUCCCUUUUGACAUUUAAAAUACUUGUAUCAAGAGACGUGUCAGAGGAGUGGAUAUAACAUAAACGUGCAGAAAGAACUGUAUUCCCCCAUGUAUUACGAUAAUGCCUUAUGUUAGGUUUUAAGUGUGCAGGAAAAUCAGGAUGAUGAACUAACUUACGAAAGCAUGGAUUCUUGUACUACAUAUGCCACUAGGCACGGAACAAAAAUAUAUUUCACAUGGGCGCAUCAUCUUCAAUAUUACCCCUGGCACUUAGUACUAUCUAUUUCCUUCCAGUUCUUUAGUUUUCUUGUAUAAGAUAAGCUUAGAUGGUCCUGAAAUUUCAUGCUAUUAUUUUCCCUGUUGGAAACAAGUCCCGCCUUCUUUCGCAUUCAAAAGACCUAAAAUUGCCGAGUACCAGGCAUACCACAGUAUGUAGCAUGCCAGCCAAUCAAUGGCAUGCACCCAUGCACGUCAUAGCAAACAUCAUAUACACAUUCACAUAAGUAUCUACCAGUGGUACACCUUUACCUUGGGCAAAAUGGAAUAGUUAGAUUACAUUUAGGAAAUAUGAAGAAAAUUCAACAGGAGAAAAACGUCCAAGUUAUCGCUUAACUCCUAAAGCCAACUAUCAGCUGCAAUGCUUCCCUACUGCCCUACGUAAGUACACAGAGCACUUAAUUAACAUUGAUCAGGGAAGUACACCCUUUAAUGAACAACAAGAGCAGAUGGUGCCUGAUGAAUUACAACCCAGAAGGGUUGCUAUAGAAAAAUCUACAGAUUCCAACGUUUCGAGAAACAAAGACAAGGAGAAAGCAAUGCAUUACUUAAUAAAAAUUGCCAAAAGUAUGAAACAAGAAAACUCUUGAAAAGUUUCUAGAGAUAGAAAAGAAGCCAAGCAAUGUGGUCUAGGAUAGAGUACUCUUUCGUAUAUAUUUUUUCGUAUAUAUUUUCUUUUAUACUGCAGAACUAGUAAAUAUCAGGUAUCAAUCAUGUCGUAACACACAAGACAUGAGGCAUGUCACACCAAUUGCGCUACACAGCAGGGAAUCAGAGACGUAGGAUGUGCAAACACUAGUGGUUAAAGCUUUCAUUAACAGUCAACAAUUCUGCUUAUAAAAAUUAACACAUCACUAAUUGCAAUAUAAUAACAAUAGUACCAUUUGUUCAGAUAUAUGUAAGACAAACUGAUAGAAACUGUCCAAUGAAUUAACUUGUGAUGACCAUAUUACAGCAUGAGACCAGAUAACAGCAUAUUGUUAGAACCAGUAGAACAUGUUAUUUUGAAAGUUGCAUUCAAAAUAUCAGCACAACUAAUAUGUAGCAUUACCUGAGGGACUGCACAAUCAGCAUGAAAUGGAUCCCAAGGCAAAGCACAGGAACAGUCCCAUUCAUCAGUUUGAACUACGAAAAGAGGAGCCCUAAGAAAAUGAUGUAACGUAGUUAGGUAAGAUGAGCAAUAAAGCAUGACACAUAAUUAACUUAAAAGUGAAAAGCAGCUCUUUUAUUUGAAAAGCUAACAAUGAUUAAUGCCAUCUAGUGCAUGGCUUAUGCUAUAUUUUACCUGCGCCACUUCCCACAUAUAGUUCCCUCAUUGCUGUCACUUGUAUAUAAGACGUCUUGACAUUGAAUCCAAUUACCAAUAGAUGUUGUUUUUUGUGGCUUAUAAUUAUUCCAACACUGAGGAAAAUUAUUUUUUGUAAAGAAAGUCAAUACUAGCUGGAAGCACAAACAUUUAUGUAGAAUAACUGAAAGAUAUAUUUUGUUAUUCUUACAUCCAGACUAGCACAUUCGGGUGAAUCCAGGAGGGAGAAUUCUAGAACAGAAUCGGAAUCACUGCAUUAAAUGUAUAAGAAAACAUCAAUAAGAGAAGUCACUUAAUGCGAGAAGUUCAAAUAUAUAAGAAAACAAAAGCUAAUAAAAGCCAUCUAUAUGCCAAUAACAGUUUCUCUUUAAGGACUUACUGGUCAUAGUUGAUUCAAAAGCCGUUAUGAAAUGAACAUAAAAAAUGGACAAAAAGGAAAGAAGCUUUGAAUGAAGAAGUCAUUAAUCAUUAUCUGCUCAUGCAUAAAUAAUAGGUUGAUAGCAUUGAUUGGAGUCAUGAAAGAAUCUGCUUGCCACAACCAUUAUUGUCAGAGCCACCAUAUCUCUUUCGAGCUUUGCCGAUCCUAACUUAUCGAGAAAAAACUCUAAACGAUAAUUUGAGCUUCUUCAGAAUUGUUAUAUAUAAUAGGUAAGCACAUACGGGACGAACCUGAACUAUGGCCUAUUUUGGGACAAUUAUCCAACCUUAAGUGAGUUUCGAGUUGGCUUUCUCAUUUCAAUUCGUUUGGUACGAGCCAUUAAAUGGCUCUUCUGUAAUAUAAUUUGGGCAUGCCAUCUGCUUUAGCGGACUUCAUUAUAGUAUAGCAUGUGACUCCAUCCCGUUAAAACAUAUGACACGUAGAAAUUUUGCAACAAAGAGCGAUCAAAUUAAUUGAAAGGCUAGGUAGAAAAAUCAAAUUCUUAAAGGUUGGAUAGUCAUCACAAAAUGUGUCAUAGUUCAAGUCAGUUGUUGACUCAGAUAUGUUAUACCUAAAUAAAACUAUUGCCUAUCCAUAGCAUUUAAGGCCUUCCGCUUUCUAUGUAUAUUCCCCCAUAGAUAGUUUUUCCGUGCAAUCUCCUAAUGGGUUUCAUUCAGAAAGGGUAAAGACGCUGGAACUAAUGUAACUUUGGGUCAUUUGGAACAACUUCCAGCAUUCAAAAAUUUUGAUUUAACUAUUUGAUCUUUUGAUUUGUUUGAAUUGCCUCCUGAGAAAUUAUUGCCUGCAUGUGGAGCAUCCAUACAUUUGCCCAUCAAGUAUACAUCUAUCGUUGAUGCAUCUCUGGCUUUUAAUCCAGCCAUUCAAUUAUUAAAUAUAGAAAACUACAACUCAUUGAAAUGAGGUUAGGCAUCAAAUGGGCAUCAAAUGGGCAUCAAAUUGGCUGGAUGCUGAUGAAGGUUUGGUACACAUGUAUGGAUCACUUUGUGCAGGAAAUAGUUUCUUAGAGCUCCAAAUCAAACAAAUUGAAAGGUUAGGUAGUAAAGUAAAAAUUUUCCACAGUUGAGUAGUUCUUUCAAAAUCCCAAAGUUCAUGUUAGUGACGUGUGUUUUUUACCUUCUUAAAUUUCCUUUGCACAUGUGCAAAGCAAUCAAAUUCCAAGUACCUCUUUAAUCUACCUUUGCAAUCGCAGCUGGGUAGUUUCAUUACUCCAAAAGCUCAUUCCUUAGUCUACCGGUAUGAAAUUGAUUUUAUGCUAAAGAUUGUCCCCUAGAACCAAAAAGUCUCACCUCAAAAAAAGUCCCGUGAGGCAGUUUCUAAUAUUUAAAUCAGUUUAAACUGACAAAAACUAACAAUUAUGACAAAUAAAAGAAAAAUAAAAACAAGGCAAAGCAACAAUUUUUGGUGCAUUUAGCGAUAUGGAUAUAUUGCUUUAGCCAAAAUUGUUUCACAAUUUGGUGGUUUGGGAGUGAAUAUUUAGUUUUCAAGGUAGUUUAAGUCUACAGAUCCAUGGUAAAAUCAAGUCUAGAAGGACUGUUAAAAAUCAAAUCUGAUGAUCAGAAGUCCAAAAUAUUGAAGCAUAGGGUAUGUCCACCCUAGUUAUGACUUAAAUAACACAGAUACUAUCAAUCUCCUUGUAUUCUAGAAGAUACUAUUGAGCUUGGGGUGAAAUCUCCAUUUUUGCAAUAAAACUAUGGGGCCUAAAAGCCCUUUCAGCUUUCUGCUAGAACAAAAGCUUCAAUAUCUAUUAGCCAAAAUAUGGUUUUCGAAAACUACUUUCUAGAGUAGAGAGUUAUUCUGCAAGCCAAGCUAAACAGGCAAUUAGACUAUGAAAUAAGCUACUGAUGAAGUUUAAAAAUAAAAAGGAAAGGUCCACCAAUGCUAACUAUCACAAAACAUAGAUUGAAAUUUGCAAAGCAGAAAGAGAGGAAAUGACAGGACAUACUCAGCAAUUGGACCGGACCAUGCAGGAACUUCUACUUGGAAAGCUUUACCGAUUCGAACACGGGAUAUAUGAGGCCGGCUAUCUCUCAACAUGGCUAAAAGCGGACCCAAAUCCCCAUAAGACACAUUUUUUUCUUCCUCGGGAGUUGUGCCUGUGAUACAGGAUGAAACUGUUUCUUUACUUCUAGAACACGGUUGACAGUACCACUCAACAUUUCGUAACUUCUUGACUCUUGGGCUGCAGCAAGUGACAUGAAAUGCUUCCUCACAAAGGUCACAAAUUAACAUCUUCAAUGGAUUUUCUGAAUGACCACAAGUUUUGCAUUUUAAAAAUGAAUUUGGGUCGUCGCUUCCAAGAAAUUCUAAAGAAGCCAAUUCCUUUUUUUCACAUACACUGCCGAGCAAGCCAUGAUUUUUAAGUACUGAGAUGCAUAAUUCUCUCUCUGAAAUGAGCUCAUCCAACACUAAAUUAGCAAUAGCAUUUCCAGAAGAGGAGCACUCGCCAGUAUCCUUCACCCCAUUGUUACAUGAAGAAACAUUGGUAUUAUCUUUUGGUGAUAGGUACCUUUCAUUUUUCCCACAUUUACCUUCUACAGCAGAACAUCCAUCCUUAUCAUUAUUAGCCCUCACUGCUGAAUUUUGGUCUUUGGAAGUUAUUCUCGAAUAAUAGGCACCACUUUCUUUAGAAAAUCCGUCUGUAUUUUCUUCCGAUAAAAGGGCAACACCGUUAUACUGCAAUUUCCUUCUUUUGUAGACAAAGCCAUCCCUCUUAGGCAGUGGACUUGAUAUAUCAGAACAUGUCGACAAUUCAAGAACCUUGCAUUUAAGUAAUUGGUUUUCUUCUGUUCUAUGAUCAAGACAUUCUCUGCAGCUCUCUGAAGGGCAUUCCUCACAGCUCGAGCACAACUGCCAAGUUUUAGUAAAGUGUGGCCAAUCGUAAGAUGAAUCCAUGUUCUCUUGUUUCGUAAUGGACAACGUUGUGCUCAGAGAAUCAGGAAGAGUGCUUUCGAUCAACAUGUCACCUGAACAGAUGUCUAGCCUAGUCACCUGAACAGAUGGACAACGUUGUACUUAUUGCACGUUGAAAGGCAUAUGCUCACAUAGGCAAAUUAUAAACCUUGAUCUUGAGAAUAAACAUCCUGGAAGGAAAAACAACUACCAAAAUGAAAAUGAGUCUCGAUAAAAAGAACGUGGAGUCCAAAUAUGCAAGUGAUUAGCAAAGAUAAACAUGAAUAAUGGACUAAAUGGCCAAGAAAGAGAAGUAACAAUAGGAAACAAGUACUGCGACAAUAUUUUUUUCACGCACCUACUUUUAGGUCAUUGUACAUCACUUACCAUACAAUACAAAAAAUUGCCAAGGAAAUAUAGUGUAGUUGCUAAAAAAAACAUAGUGCAACUGUGCAAGAUUCAGUUAUAAGUACAAAUUUAGAACAAAGGGCUGGUUUAUUAGUCUACGGGUUUUAAGAAUUUAAAGAAAGAAUGAAUAUAUUAAGGACAAAUAAAAGAAAAAUUAAACAAGACGGCAGAAAGGUUUAGUAUAGAUUGAAGGAGAAUGCAUACACAGAAUUGAGAACUACUAAUAAAACUCAGGUCAAUGAUCCAAUACGGCAAGAAUCUUGGGUGAGCAAUAGAAUUAAUGAUUAAGGUUGGAGGACAGAGUGAAGGGCUCUAGUUAGUCUUCUGAAAUUGACUAAUAACACAAGUACUAAAAGUAGAAUUUGCAGGACAAGGCCCUGCCAUGCUUUAUGAUAUCAAAUGUUGGGCCGUUAGGAAACAAAGAAACAUAUACAAAAAUGAUAGCAGUGAAUAUGAUAAUGUUAAGGCAGAAGAGUGCAACAAACAGAAUGAUAUAACAAUUAAAUGAAGACAUCCAAACCUAAGAUAAGCAAACUCAACAGAGGACAAAUAAAACAGAAACAGACAAAUGUGCCAACCUCCAAAAAUAAAGCAAAAUAUCCCAGGAAGAUGAUGUGAAAAACGUUGAGAGAGGCUGCACGGUUAUAGAUAAUAGGAUAUAUUUAGCUGUAUAUAAAGCUAGAGGAAUGGAUCGAUCAGAGUAAGGUUGAAGAUCCCACUUCAAUUCUUCAAGGAUUAAUAAAAACAAACCUUACUUUGCAUGGAAGACAGAAGUUUCUGCCUGAAUUGAAUUGAGGUGAGUUUAGUAAAACAACAUGAUUUGCAAAUAUUAAGCUUGAAUUUUCGUCUCCACCCGAAGCCAGAAGUUUCUGUCUUGAAUUGGGAUUCAAAGCUGCCUGCUGUUGGUUCAAGAGUAUUCCAGCCAAGGUUUAAAGUGCCGUGGCACGGGGGCGUGCCGUUACGUCCCUGGCACGGUACGGCACGGGCACGCUUGCGUGCCAACACGUGGCACGCUUGCGUGCCGACAGAUACGCACGACCUCCUGCUGGCACGCUUUGGCACGGACUUAUUUUAGCUUUUUUGGUUCCAGUAAACUCUUAUAAUAUUAUUUUGAAAGAUUUAAACAAAAUAAUAUGAAUAUUUAUUAUGUACAUCUUACUAUACUCAUCAAAUAACAUGCAUGAAAGCUUUUUGUAAGUAAAAUACAGCUAUAUCUGAUAUAUAAUAGAAAUUAAAAUAUAAUAAUAAAAUUCACAGUACAAUAAUUAUUUAAAUUUACAUCUUUACAUAGAGAUGACUGCUUAAUUUCACAUAGAUCGUCGCGCUGGAUCAUAUGUCAUAUUGUUAUCUGCGGAUACAAGAUUUAUUUGACAAUAUUGAUACAAGUAUUGCUGGCAUUGUGAGAAAUUCAUAUAUUCCCAAUAUUACAUCUAUAUUUUUUAUUUUUUUGUUCUUAUUAAAAAUAUCUGAUCAAAAUUUGUUUAGGAAAUCGAUUUUUGUUUCUUUGAUUCAUCGAAAGUUUCGCGGUGCGACAAAUUUUGAUAAAAUAUUUUGUGAAGAAAAAAUGGAUGUCAGUGGUGGAAGCGGAGGGCUCGGGCCGACAUAUGGAUCAGAUAAAUAAUAAGUUAAAUUAUAAGUUUUUAAUUUAAUAAAAGAAAAACCAAAAAAAAAGCCAAAAGGCAAAAAAAAAAAAAAAGAAAAAGAGUUGACAAAAAGGCAUCACGAUGUCAAAAAAAUAAGAUAAAAGUGAAAAAAAUACAAUAUAGAUGGCCUGGGGGGUUGUAUCCCAGAGAACAAAAAAAAAAAAGAAGCCAACAAGUCAAAAAAAAAAAAACCCGGCGGCAUGCCGGUACGUGCCUGCGGCACGCGGGGGGGUGCGAUACCCCCCCUGUACCGUGCCCCUUUCUUGGGGGCACGGUACGGCACGGGGCGUGCCGUACGGCACGCCCCGGCACUUAAAACCUUGAUUCCAGCUGUAAUCCUGGAAAGUCCUUAAGGAGUUUUCAAGACAGAAUUCAGUUUUUUCCUCCCCGCCUACUCGUUAAUGAAGAAAUGGAAGGGAGAAUCUAGUUGAGUUCUAUUGAUUUUCAAAGUCACCUAGUGCCUUUUAAGUGUUUUGUUUGCAAGAAUCCUUGAGAAAUUAACUCACAAAAAUUUUUGCAAUUCCAAUCACCUUUUGGAAGAUUAUUGUGGGUAAAGUUCUGCAAAAAGAACAGUACUAAAUCCCCGUUUUAGGCUAGAUUUAGAGAUGAACAAAAACUUUUUAAAUGAAUGCUAAAGUAAUGGAAGAAUUUCUUCAAUCCUCAUUUCCUAAGACCCUGAAUAAAUACGAAAGAUCUAAAAAUUAAAAUCUAAGAAUGUGCAUUGUCUAAGGAAACAUAAGAAUUCAGAAGCUUAUUUAUUCUCUUCUAGAAUGAUAAAUAGUUGUCACCUCAAAGGCAAACACCUAAGCCAUAUUUUGUGCAUGCAAAGAAAAAAAAAGAAGAAAAAGGACGGUUGAGGAGUUUAAAGAAUGGCAAUAAUGCAUUAGGUGAAAAAGAUAUUAAAAGUUAUUCUAGAAAUCCUUCUUUACCAAGUGUUUAAAUUGGUAUUGGAUAUUUUCUUGUGAGCGGCGCGACCGAAGAAGAAUUCUACUCCAAGUGACUUGUUAUGCUUAUUUGGUGAAAACAGUCCAGAUUUUAGAGAUUAGAACUUACAAAUCAUUUUUUUGAGGGGAAGAAUUUAAUAAUUGUUUGUUCAAAAACUUAAUACUAUCCGGGAUAUUACAUGCAAUAAGAUGGUCAUUGUAGCAUAUAACACAUCCAAUCUUCGAAGUUCAAUAUAUAGUUAAAAUCUAAAUAAAAAGUAAAACAUUCCGGUUGUAUUGAUUUCUCAAACAACAAAAGGCCAUUACUUAUGGUUCCAACACCUUUAGCAGGGAUGGCAAGUUAUCAGGUUGUUUCAGUGUUCUAAAUAGCGGCCAGUACAACCGACAUAGCAGCCAAUAUAGCAGUGUUAAAGAUUAACCACAAUGCUAUGUAAUAAAAAGUGAAAUUUAGCAACCUAGGAUCGUAGUAACCACUGUAUUAGCCGUAGCAGACACUAAUUCUCAUAGCGGCCUCUAUAGUGCUCGAUAUAUAGCAGGUCCGUAUAGGACGCGUUAGGCCUCAAACCCAUAAAGAUUUUGGACAAGCUGAUUUUGGCGCAAAAAAAAAUCCUAAAACAUCCAAGAAACUCUUCAGGAAAUUAAAUAUAUUUUAUUGACAGAACAAUUCAAUCAUGUUUUUUUGUGGGAACACAACAAGAAAACUAAAGUUUUCUUCAUAUAGGGAGAAAAGCACACAAUGAUCACACUGGUUCACUAACAACUAAGAGGGUUUAUAGGCAGCUACCAAGGAUCACCAGCAAACCCCAAAGAUCACCAAGUACAAUUCAACUAGGAAUGUAGAACUAUAGAAAUUUGGAAAAACUACACACCUAUAUUUGGAAUAGAUGUAUUAUUUCUACCAUGUUAAAUAAAAAUGCAAUGAAGAAUAUAAGCAUUUCAGAAGUUUUGUCAAUCCCUUGUAUCGGCUCAUAGCGGUUGCUACGGCACCCGUAUCCACUAUCCAUUGUCUCUGUGUCUGCUAUGUGGCAUGUGCUAUUUACAACCUUGGUCGUUUAGAUUUGGGGCUGAUCGAGGUGGCAUACAAUGGGCAUAUAGACUUGAAUUGAGCCCUAAGAAGCUCAAGCUGGAUCAAUGCAAACCAGAGACACUGAGUACACGGGCUGAAAGAACGCAUCUUACUUACCUUAAGUAGGUCGGGUACAAGGGUUGACUUGACCAGAAACAACAUGCUCGGCAAAAUAAGGACAAUUUUAUCUUGUUUUCCUUUUUGAAGAAAAGGAAAAGAAAAUAGGAAAAAAGAAAAGGAAAAUAGGAAAAACAAAAGGAUAAUGAGUGGGGUGUCAUAACCUUUCAUUCGAUGAAUCUUUACUCGAAACCGACAUGCUCACAUGAUCUAUUUACAAGUUAACAGGUCACAUGCUCUUGACGUAAACCGGGUUUAUUUACCUCAUGGGUCACACAAAUGGAUUGUGCUAAGUCUACAGGUUAAAGUCAAGAUUACUAACCCCAGGUUUUCCAUCCACAAUGAAGGGCAGUUUAGCAGAGCCAAUCCCCAGGUCCCCAAAGAAAAUAUUUGGAGAUAGUCCUAAGCUUCUACAUUUUUUCACAUGAAAGGCUGCUCUCAAGACUCGUACUAACUUAUGGUUUUGACUAUUAAGCUUUUUUCCAUCGAACAAGCUUUAAGCUUUUUUCCAUCGAACAAGCUAUAAAAUCUUCGAUUUCAUACCAAAUACUCACCAUAAAUUCUAAAAUAGAAGUAUUAUGCAAAUCAAGCAGCCCAUUUUUCAAGUUUAAACAAUCUUACUCUACAAGACAACACUCAAGGUACUCAGGCUCAAAUUCAAUCAAUCUCCAAAAGCAGUUAAAGAAACAGGAGAUUUGAUACAAUAAAAGCACCAUAUCACACAUCUAUUUGGUCAUCAGGGAUGGGUACAUACUACCAAUUGCAAAAAUUGAGGAUAGAGUACCACCAAGAAAGGUAUUCCAAAAGGGCCAAAUCCCUAGUAACAUCCAUCUAAAACCUAGGUGGAAAGGAGAUAAAAAUUUCACAACCACCAUGACUGCUCCCAACUGUAGUCAAAUUCAUCUAGAAAAGGGAAAACCAAUUUAAGUGCAUAAAACCCUAGAGACUUUUACAUAAAUCACUUUUCUUCCAACAAUGACUAACGUCAAGAAGCCCAAUCCAAAAGGUUAAAGUUCACACUUCUCAAAUAUGCCUCAUCAACAAAUAUCCCAGGGUUCUUGUCAUUUUGACGGAAGAGAACAACAUAUCUAUAUCUAUUUCUGUACAAUUCUUACAUGCAAUUAUAUUUGAUAACUUCUCACGCCUCGUUGCACACUUCUUGUUAUUUUGCUAUUUCUACUUACGUAAUGACUUUCAACUCCCUUAAGAUCGUCGACAUGCUCUUUUACAAUUUUACAAUAACAUAAACCGCCGUACACUCACACAUCAACUAUGCUAAUCCUAGUAUACUUUCCGCAUACCCUUUCAUGUACUAUUCAUAGUUAAAACAACACAAAAUUGUAUGGAGACCUAGUGCACUAACAUGAUAAUUCGACCUAGUUCGAGAACUCGCUUAGCAAAUGACUUUCUCCCAUAGAAUGAACAUCGAACCAAUUCGGUCAUUUCACAAAAGAUCAACAAAAAUAAACCAAAAGGCAACCAUUUUUCCUGCAAACUGUACACAAAAAAACCAGGAAAAGAACAGCAAAGCGGAGCAGAUCCACCCGCUCCCUAAAACACCUAACAAAACAAGGAAAAUAACCUAAAAAUACAUAUUAAUCCGACCACAUCAUACAAGGAAAAAGAUCAAUUAUUAGAUCUAUAAUCUAAACGAAUUACAGAGAUCGGAUGAAACAAAAUCAAAUAGAUACAUCUAGAGAAAGAUCUAUCUCACCUUGCUAGAGAAUUGCUGCGGCGACGAAUCGAACGGAGAUGGAGGAGGUGAGAUCGGAGAUUGAGGGAGAGAGGGGUCGGAUUUUUCGGAAUCCGCCGCGAGGGUUCCGGGGAGGGUUCGGGGGGCGGAAAAAAUUUUGUUGGAGCCCUUAAUUGCACGAAUACCCUUUAAAAAGUCGACAAUUUCAAAUUUAAAAUUUCAAAUUAUAUUUUUAAAUAUUAAAAUUUUAUAUUUUAAAUUUCAUAAUUAUUUAUAUUUUUAAAUUUAAAUUUUAUAUUUUUAAUUAAAAUUUUAAAUUUUAAAUAAAUUUCAAAUUUCAAAUUUCAAACUUUGAAAUUUCAAAUUUCAAAUUAUAUUUUUAAAUAUUAAAAUUUUAUAUUUUAUAUUUUAUAAUUAUAUGUAUUUUUAAAUUUUUAUUUUAUUUUUAUAUUUUAUAUUUUAUAUUUCAUAUUAUUUUUAAUUUUAAAUUUUAAUUUUAAAUUUUAAAUUUAAUUUUAAAUUUUAAAUUUAAAUUUUAUCUUAAAUAUUAAAUUUUAAUAUUUAAAAUUUUAAAAUUUUUUUAAAUUAAAAUAUCAAAUUUUAAAUUUUGUACAAUUUUGAAAUUUAAAAAUUCUAAUUUUAAUUCAAAUUUAAAUUUAAAUUUUAAAUUAUUUUAAAAUAAAAUUUUUAAAAAAUAUUAAUUUAUGCAAACAUCAAAAAAAUUUUACCAAACAGCUUUUCAAAAUCACUUCUGAAAAAUCGCUUUUAUCUAAACUCAGCCAAACGCUCUAUAAGGCUUCAAGUCUAUAUGCUUUUACCCCAACUCUAUUUUAUCCGAUAGCGUCAGAAGGGCCUCAAUACCAAACUAAAGGUCCAUAUGUUGUUAUUAGAUAAAAUAGAGUUGAGGUAAAAUUAUAUAGGGAUAUGCUUCCAGCGUUCUUCAGUGGGACUCUAGAAAAUAUAUCGUAACUGACUCAUCGCGAUAUGCGGAACGAUAAUAUUACAUACGGAAACAAACAGGAUAUUUUUCUAACGUACUGCUCACCGUAGGUAAUGCAAUUUUUUUGCAAUCCCAAACGAAGCCUUAGGAUGUUUGGUAACCUCUGUUGUAAAAUAUAAUUUUUAUUUUAACAAUUAGGUUUUUAAUUUUAGAGGCUUCAAAAUUGUAGUCAUCUGCUUUGUAAAAUCAAAUAUAUAUUCUGGGUCCAAAUUUUAAAUUUAAAUCUUGAUUCAAGAUUUUAAUUUUAUAUUAAAAUUUAGAUUUUAAAUUCAAAAUUGAUAAAUUUUAAAUUUCAACACUUUAAAAUUUAAAAUUUAAAAUUUUACAUGUUAAAUUUAUUUUAAAUUAGAAUUUGAUAUUUUAAAUUUUAAAUUGUAUAAAUUACUUUAAAAAGGUUUGUCAAACAAUUUUACAUAAUCGCUUCAAAAAAUUAAAAGGUUGGAUAUUCAAAUUAAAUUUUCAAAAGGACAGAUAGUUGCUUCAAAAUUGUUCAUAAUUCAGGUAUGUUUUAUAUGCUUUUACAAAAAAAAAUAAUAAUAAAGUACAAAAAGCCAAUCCAAAAUUUUAAAAUUUUAAGGGGUUUCAGGAAGAAAAGGUUAAUGUAAAAGGGGUUAAUUUCAACAAGGCAGAUAAAUGAGAGGUAUAUUUUUCACCCACUAAUAGUUAGAGGUGUGGGAGGAUAUUAGUAUAAAUUUCAAACUUUAACGGAGUAUAUUUAUGAUACUUUUAAAAUUUGGAAGGAUGUCUGUGUAAUUGUCCCUAAAAAAUUUGCAAAAUAUAUUGCUGGCUCUCUUUUGAUAUAUAUCUUGUCUAUAUUUUUUUUUUCAAAUUAAGUAAAACCAAUUUUACAUACUAUUAUAGUAUGUAUAAAUUUUAAAUAUUUUUUACAUUAGUCAAAACAAUUCUUUAUUUCAAUAUGAAGAACUCUUUCAAUAUUAAAAAUUCAGAAAGAGUGCCUAAACUCUUAGAAUUUUAAAUGUCUCAUUUAUUUUUGAGUUUUUAAAUUUUUGAAAGGGAGAUAUUUCAGGUUACUCACAAUUUUUACCUUUGUAUAUUAUUAACGUAUUAAUAAUAUAUAAGUUGUUGAUUAGUUUAGAGUUUUUAGAACGUAAUUUAAUAUUUUUUAUAUUAAUUUACUAAUAGCCUUAAUAAAAUAUUAGAGCAAUAUUAUAUAGAAUCUAUAAUAAAACUCUCUCAGCCUAUGCAGUUGAAAAAGACUAGCGCUACAAGUCUCUCAUAAUAUUAUACUUUAUAUUAUUGAUGUGUCGAUAAUCUUAUAUAAUGCUUUAGAAUGUGUACAUGAGUCCAUCGGAUUUUUCUCUUUCUUUGCUUGAACAGAAUCAAUUAUUGUUGAGUAUAGGCUUUUCCAAGCUCGCUCAAUUUCUUCACAUAUUUUUCUCUUUCUUUGCUUAAACCAAACCUGAUUUUUCUCUUUUUUUGUUUGAACGGAACCGAGUCAUAUCUUUGCAUUUUGCCCAACUGUUCCUCUUCCAUUUUCUUCGGUCGUUAUCUUCCUUCAUCAACAAGAUGAAUCUCACUCCUUAUCGUCGCUUCAUUUAACGUUGUUUUCUCUUCCUUUGUCGUCGUUUUCUACUUUUUCUCUAAUUAUCUAUCCAUUACAUCGUAUGAAUUACUAUAUUAGUUAUAACAUUCUUUGUAGGUGGAAUUAGAAGCAUUAAAUUUGAGCUUUUCUUUUUCGAGCAUUGUAUCUCAUUUUUGCUUAAAGUAGAUGCUCAUAAAUAUAUUAAUAAAAUGUUCUUGAAUGUAUAAUUAGGAUAGUAUUAAUUUAGAUGGUUUUUGGCUCUCGAAAAAAAAAAAAAAAGUUUUCUGGCCAGAAAAGCAAUUUCCAUCCAUUUGAUUUUCGGAAAAAGUGUAAGAAAAGUGUAAAUUUUUAUUUAAAAAAGUGUAAGAAAAGCAAUUUCCAUCAACGGCUGGGAUCACUCAAACUCAGAACCUCCUACUCUGCUACCAUGUGAAAGAUAAGCGAAAGAGUUUAUUCCCUUUCUAGAGUUUCAUUGAUACUAGUUAAGGGACCCGCGCAAUGCUGCGGGUAGUUAUUUUAAAAUUUAUUUUUAAAAAUUAGUUAUAAAAAUUAAUUUUAGAAUUUAAAUGAUGCAAUAGGUGCAUCAAAAAAUUUUAGUAGGCAUAGUAGUCCCCCAUUAGUUAGUGAAAUAAUUUUAGUAGGUAUCGUAGUCCCCCAGUAGUUAGUAAAUGAGAAGAUAAAUUAUUGCUUGUGAUUUUUGCAAUUAAUUUUCAUCAAAUAUAAAAGUAACUUAAACUGCAUCAAUUUUAUUUUAUUUUUUAAUGUAUAAUUUAUAUGUGAAUGCACAAUAUUAUAAAAUUAAUAUUUAUAUCUAAUACCAGUAGUCUAACUUAUUUAACAUUUAUUUAUAUAUUUUACAUUUUAUAAAAAUAAAUAGUAAAUUAUAUAAUAAAUUAUUAAAUAAUAAUAUAUCUAUAUACAAAUAAAAUACUAUAUAUAAUAAAUAAAUAUAUAUAAUAAAUAUAAUAUAUAUAUUUAUAAAUAAAAUUAUAUAUAUAUAUAAAUAAAUAAAUAUAUUUUAUAAAUAAAAUUAUAUAUAUAUAUAUAUAUUAUAUAUAUAUAUAUAUAAUAUAUAUAUAUAUAUAUAUAUAUAUAUAUUAUAUAGAAAGAGAGAAGAGAGAGGAGAGAGAGAGUUCGUGAGAGGGAGGUCCACCGUGGACCUCCCUCUCAUGUGGUCCACGAGGCCACUUCGGCCUCGUGGACCCCGUGAACACCACCCCUAUGAGCCCCGAUGUUUUUUCGGCUCCGCGCUGCGCCGCGCCGUGCCGCGCCCCGCGCUCGCGCCCUCGCGUGCCCCGCGCCCCGUGCCGCGCCCCGCCCCCGUGCCCGCUCCCGCAGCGCCAGCGCCAGAGCCCGCCCCCGCGUCGGCCCCCGCGUCAGCGGCCGCCCUUGCCCCGCGGCACCAGCGCCGGAGCCCGCCCCCGAGUCGGCGCCCCCGCCCGUGCACGCGCCGACCCCCGCGCCAGCGCCCGCCCCGCGCCACGCCCGCUCCCGCUCCGCGCCAGCGCCCGCGGCCGCCCGCGCCCCGCGCCCUCGCCCAUGCCGCGGCCUCCUCGCGACACGUGUGCAGUUAUUGAGGAAUAAUAUAUAGUUAUUAUAGAUUAUAGAUGUUUAUAUAAUUACAAGAGAUGUAUAUAUAGUAACCAUUGUUACCAUAUAACCUUAUAGUGUAUUUGGAAUGUACUAUAUAGGUUCCAUUAUAUAUGUAAUGUUAGUAUAUACAUGUUAAAAACAUCUUAAUAUACUAAAUAUAUCCUAACAAUCCCAUACAUCAAUUUCUGCAGAAAGGGAUACAAAACAUAAAUAGAUCCACAUUGUGCUAAUAAAUUUUGUAACACCUUAAAUUACAUUUCUUAUCUAGCAAUAGACAUCAUCUCCACUGUGUCAUGCAUCAUCAACAGAUGGUUACUUUAAUAUGCUGAUAUACAGAGUCUCAUGCAAACAACAAGCAGUUCAAGCCCGAGAAACUCAGAAAACAAUCGAAAAAAUGGGGGGCGAAAAUAAAGACUGAAGAAGGUUAAACAAAAAAUUUCCUCAGGUUCUCAUUGUUUUGCUGUGGUUCCAUCUGUUAAAUAAUUAUAAGAGGUCCCAGAUCCUUCUACAUGGAAAAUAAGCAUCAUUUCCACUUUCAUUCCUUAUUAUUACAAUCUCGUAACCCCAUAUGAGUAAAAUGAAUGUAGCAAAAGGGGAAGGGAAAAAAAAAAAAAAAAGCAGGUGAUAAUUGUGUAGUGUAACAAAUUUCCUGUGUAAGUUCUAACCCUUAACUUAUUAAGCCUUUCAUCAGGUAACAACCUCUUUGCACGAGCCACUAUGAAUAUCCACUUCUCUGUUGCACAAUUCGACAACUUUGGUAGGCGCCUUUGCUUUCAACAUCAUCUCAGCAAACUCGUCCUCAGGCUUCGAUAAUGCUACAAUAGCCCCGCCGGCCCCCACCGACGCUUCACUAUUGUGUAAAACGACAGUCCGAAUCACAAUAUUUAGAUCGAAAGUCUGAUUGUAUGAAAAGAAUCCGAUUGAUCCAGAAUAAACACCCCUCGAGCAGUUUUCUAGCGAAUCAAGAAUUUCCAUCGACCUAAUUUUGGGUGCACCGGUCAUUGAUCCUCCUGGAAAAGCAGCUUUUACGCAGUCCAUUGGGCUCAAGUCGGGUUUUUUCCUGCCUUGGAUUGUGCUUACCAUAGUGUGGACAGUCGCGUACGAUUCAAUUUCCAUUAGGCGAGGGACGCGCACGCUGCCAGGAGUACAGACUCUGCCGAGAUCAUUUCUUAGAAGAUCAACAAUCAUUAGGUUUUCUGCCUGGUCUUUCUCACUAUUUUGAAGAUUGGCAUAGACAUUUGACCCCAUAGAAAGAAAAAAAAAAAAAAAAGAACACAGGUGAGAAGCUUGUCGGAUAGCAAGUGUUGAUCUCAAACAUCAAUAACAAAUUACAACAGGAAAGAAAUAAAAGUAUGAUUCUCAAUAUGGGAUUUCCGGAUAUGCGUAAAAUUAAACGAAGGGUUCUCAACCUUCUUAGGAUCGAUUCUCAACCUUCCUGUUGUUGUAAUUGGUCCACAACCUUAGAAUUCAUUGCGAUCUUUACCCUUUCAGUUAUAUCCCUCCAUUGAAUUGGGGAGAAAUAUUCAUGUAAUCACCAUCUGACUGCCAUGUAAGCAAUUUUUUGGACUUCUAAUAUGGUGAUUGCAUUUGUAUUUCUAUGCAAUUUACCCAAGGAAUUUCCUAACAAGGAUAAGGACCCAAUUGUGAGACAAUUGAAAGGCCAGGAGAAGUCAAGCUGAGACCCCAGGUACAACUUAUAUUUUUCAGAAAUUUUACAUGAAAGAAACACAUUUUUAUCACUACAGCUAAAAACUGAAAAGAGACAAAAGAAUAGCUUACACACUUGCCUGUAUUGCAGCUGUAAUCUAAGUUGUUCAUCUUCUUCAGGUGUUCUGCCCCGUGCUAUAGUACCUUUAAUAGGUUUCGCCUCCAGAGUACCGCUCUUGUCCAAUCGCAGAAACCUUUCAGGAGAAGAGCAGCAGAUACAUAGAUUUUCUUCAGCAAAAUUCAACCAAGCCGCAUAAGGGGCCGGAUUUUGCUCUCUUAGGUUAAAGUACAGUUUUAGAGCAUUUAUAUUACCAACCCUUUUCCUCAUUUGUGUUGUUAAACACAGUUCAUAGCUUUCACCAUCUCUGAUUAACUUCAAGCACUUCUCGACAUCUUUUAUAUACUGAUUCUUUGAUUUUUCAACAACAAAACUUCCCUUGUUUGGAACUGAGCUACUAGACAGUCGUUGCUCUUUGAGGUUUAUUCUCGUUGAGCCUAUAGUACUUAACCUGAGAAGCCUCCUCUCUGCCUCAAUCAACCAUGAUUUAUCAUUUGAUCUGUCACUAUGAAUAUCAUGGAUUGAUAGAAUAUAUACGUCUCCAUUGUCAUGAUCGAUCGCUACAAGGUUAUCAGCAAAGAAAAAACAGGCAUCUGGAGUGGUUGAUUUGUAUUUGUUAGAUGACGCUCCACAUUCAACUUUAAGGCCAUACCUGGUUUCAUCAAUAAAGAUACAGUAAAUGCAAAAGAGCUUCAUUAAGCCUUGAAAAAUACUAACAGAAUUAUAAAUUAAUUAGAUGAAAUAGACAGUAGACUAAAGUAUAUACUGAGCAUUUUUUUUUCGUCUAAUAUGAUCCAUACAAUAUUUUUCUUAUGAUCAGUUCAACAUUUCUCCACGAGGAAACAUUAUCAAACAAAGUAAGAUUCACACUGUUCCCAUUCAUUAAAGACACUGCUCACUGCUGCAAUUACUAAAAGAUCGAUCUGAUAGGAAACAGCAUACGAAUUUGUCUUAAGAGAAUAAACUGUGGCAACCUUCUACUAAUUAUCCGGCGUUAACUAAAUUGAUGUAAGUUCUUUAAUCUGGUUCAAGUGCAUGUCCACGACUCCUCGAAACUUGAUUCCAAGAGGCUAACUUGAUGAAGUGGAUUUUCUAAAGCACAAAAUGUAAUUGUCUUGACAAAGUUGGACAAAUGAUUCAGAGAUUAUCCACUUCAUCAAUAACUACAAAAAGCUAGCACUACUCUUGAAUCAUAUUUUGUCUUGGUGAGACAAAAUAUCAUACUGUUGUCCUUUCUUAAAUUGUAAUAAAAAACUUUUCCAAUGUUGAACUUCUCAAAAUGUGGAUGGCUUUAAAUGUAUGCCAAAUUUCUCUCUCUCUGGUUUUUCUAGUGAGACUCCAAAUUUGCUCGCCGCCUUAAACCAUAACGAAGCAUGAACAGAUUAUGGUGUUUUUCAUUGGUUCAAAAGUGCAUAAACAAAAUGGCGACCAUCCAGCAUCGUAGAACUCAUAAAUAUUAAUUAUGCUGUGAUUUCAUGAAAAAUGUUAUAACUUAUAACAAGAUUAUUCUUUAACAUAAUUAAUAACAUACCCAAGGAAGCCAACAAAUCCACCACAGAAGUCGAAAGGCAAUCCUUCAUAAUCUUUUGUGUCAUAUUGAAACGACUGAAGUUCCUGACAAAUAUAUCCAGAAAUAUCAAAAAAAACAAAAUAAUAACCACUUCAGAGAAGCACAACCAGCAUGAAUUUAUGGUCUUAAGUAGAAACUACAUUGAUAAAACCAGGUCUUAGCGCUGACCAAAAUGGUAACAAUUAAGGCUAAUAACAGAUCUAACAAUAAAAUAUAAGAUUUUUAUGUGAUAAAACAUUUUUUAAAUAUGGAAUAUAUACCUCAUUAAGGAAAUCCAAAAACCCGUUCUUGAGAAACCUUGUGCUCACAGAUCCGUGGACAUCUUGAAUAGAAAGGUAACCUCCAAAUUUACUUGUUGCUUUACUGAAACAUAAUGUAGACGUCUGUCAUUGACUCUAUGUAUCAACAAAAGAAUGCUUAAUCACUAAAGAGAGGAGCAGUUAAACUAGCAGUGCUCUGUGCUUGAGAAAAAUUGUCUUCAGACCUUUGAUCAGAGAGGCGAAAAGUUAGUUGCUUCCACAAUGGACCUCCUUUACCACCCAUGAAUGAAAACCGUGCCCUAUUCUGAAAGCAAUCACAUGUACAAAUAAAAAAAUCAACUGACAGUAACCUACUAAUCCAAAUAGCAAAAAGGCCAAUCACCAACAGUUACACAUAUAGCAGGAGAUAGCACAUAAGAUAUUUAAAUGCUGGACGUUUUUGAUGUACUGUUUUAGGGAUGUAUAGUUGCUUUAGCAUCUAUUUUUUUAUUAUAAAAAGGCAAGUUACUAAUAAAGAGCUUCUGUGGCAAUUUUCCCCUAUACAUGUGACACAACAAUAGAGACUACACACACAGCUUCACCGCUGCAAUCAGGAUUUGUUCAUAAAAGAGCCAUUCAAGUUAGAAAUUGUAGUUAAGUCUAUGCCAUAAUACUUGUAUCNCCAACACACAUAUAGCUAGAAUACUCAUAAUAGUAACCGGCUUGUUUUACUAUGGAGUCAUUUUCAAAGAUGGGAUUUCCGAAUCAAUCAACAGAGCUAAACAUGAUCUAAAGUAUUUGAAGUAUUUGAAUACCGAAUUCCGUAAUAUUUUAAAUCAUUUACCUAGCGAUGAAAGGGUUCAAAAUAGACAAAUUUUUAACAGUCUACAUAAGCCAUUUGCUCGUUUAAUAGUGUGGAGCAAUCCAAAUCCAUUGAAUUUUUAACAGAAAAUUCUUUCCACUAUCUAGAUCAUGUUCAAUAACUCUAAUCUUGAAUUGAAAAAUUCUAACAACAAUUUUCACAAUGUUAUUCAUUUCGACCGCUCUCUUUGUAGUCACUUGAUGGACUUGAUAACAAUUUAAAAAAGCCAUAAAACCUGGUUAUUAGAUACUUUAAAUGCUUUAGAUCAUAUUUAACGAUGUCGAUUGUUAAUUCAUAUGCCCCAUCUUCAAAAACAAUUUGAUAUUAAAAUGGCCCAUUUACACUCGAGUAUUCUAGCCCAACUAAGGAUGUCAACCGGUCGGAUUCGGGGCGGAUGUUCAAAAACCCGAACCCGAACCCGAACCCAACUCCAAAACCAAAACCCAAAUCCAACCCGAAUCCGACAGAUUUUAAGAAUCCAUAUCCAAACACGAACCUGACCAAAAAUCCGAAACCCGAACCCGAGCCCGAACCCGAAAAUCCGAACCCGAAACAAUUAUUUCUCUUUUCAAUAUUUCAAAAUAUAUUACAUUAAAUCUAAAUAUUUAAAAUACAAGUUCAAAUAUAACAUCAAACAUAUAUAUAUAUAUAUAUAUAUAUAUAUAUAUAUAUAUAUAUAUAUAUAUAUUAUAUAAUGUAAAAUAAAAUCGUGACCGGGUCAAAUUCCGGUCGGAUUCAGGUUCGGGUCGGGUACAAUUAAAAUCCAUACUAGAAUCCAAAUCCGUCGGGUUUUUGUUUUUAAUAUCCAUAUCUGAAACUAUAUCCAUUUAGCAUCAAGUAAAUCCACUUUGUUCGGGUUCGGGUUCGGGUUCGGGUUCGGAUAAAAUUUCGGGUAUCCGCAUCCAUUGACAUCCCUAAACCCAACUCUCUCUCUCUCUCUCUCUCUCUCUCUCUCACAAACAGAAGCACAAAGGCCUCCAUACAUGUAAGUUGUUUUCGAUGAAGAAACUUUCAAUUUGACGAUUAGCUCCGUUAGACUUGAUAUAGAUUAUUUAAAGUAUCUAAAAAAUAAAUUUCAUAGUUUUUUAACACAAUUUACCUAAUAAUCGAAAAGGCUCAAAAUCAACAAUUUUCAUAGUCGACAUGAGCUAUCAAAUCAUAUGAAAUUUUAAUAGAAAAUUUUUGCAUACUAUUUAAAGUAAGAUAAGUACCUCUAAUCUAAAAUUUUAGUAUUGUAUCGUCAUCUUUCAUGAGAUUCUUAUUUUCAGCCAUUUAUUUUGAGCCCGCUCAAUCACUAGGUAAAUGAUAUCGAAAAUCACAAAAUUUAUUUUUAGAUACUUCAAAUAGUCUAGAUCUGGUGUUAAUUAUUGAUUCGGAAGUCCCCUCAUCAAAAACAAUCGGGAAGCACCAAGCACAAAGCACAGAGGCCUCUGUGGUUCUAAAAGAGCAAUAUGUGUAUAUAUAUGUGGUAAAAGCAUCUCAACUCAGCAUUAAUUGGACGCUGGAAUCAACAUCAGUCACACCAUAUUGGUAUGUUGCUAUUUAGCGAAGUCAUAAAUGCAAGUAUCUUCUAAGUCAAGCAUUAAACUGACUUUUUAGAAAUGUUUAUGGGCUAGCAUCAGCAUCUGGCCUACUUUUUUACAAGAAAAAAAAGGACGGUAUGCAGGCAGUAAUAGAUAACAUAAC